rnacentral:lncRNA from 1 species
CAGAGAGAGAGAGAGAGAGAGGUGGACGUCUGAUAAGUAGGAAGAGACCAAAUGAUUCAUAGACCCCACGACAGUCAAAGUUAAGACCAUGGAUGACAGAGAUCCAACAUGGUUGUGGGACUCCUUAAGUAUUAGAAAUUAAGAAAAAAACAAAAUUAUUCACAUAUAAAUAAUAUAUUCAAACUUAGUGAUUUUUUAUUUAUCCUUCUAAAUUUAAGUAUAUAUAUAUAUAUAUAUAUAUAUAUAUAUAUAUAUAUAUCGUAAUAAAACUCAAAACUUAGUUGUCACCGACAAAAUCUAAAUCUACUUAGUUGUCAGUGACGAGGCAGCAAGUCAGCUUCUCAAUUGAGCUCCAAAAAAUUGCUCUAUUUAAUUUGCGGCUGAGCAAUCUACUGUUUGAUGGUAGAUUUUGCAUCUGUCCACCCAACCCUUCUUUUCUAUAAACGCAACCCUUUGCCCUUCACAUCUCCCUCUCCUCCCUCCUCAACCUACUCUCCCAUAUAGAGGAGCCUUUGGGAGACCCAUCCAACUGUGAUAUGGGAGCUUCCACUGACCGUCGAAAUGGCUGCCGGCGAUGGCACGAGGUCGGGAACGAGCACGUGCCUCCCACCGACGUCCGGAUCGUGACCUCCGACGGCCAAAGCAUCCCUGCUCAUUCCACUGUUCUCGUAUGUCAUCAUCAUCGUCUUUGAAUCUUGCUUCUGAUCAGCUCAAGCCUUCUCUGGAUUGAUUGGGUCGUGAUGACAGGCUUCGUCUUCCUCCGUGUUGGAGCGGAUGCUGGAUCGUUCGCGGAUCCUCCACAUCCUCGGUGUCCCCCACGAUUCUGUCGUCGCCUUCGUUCGGCUCCUCUACUCCUCCAGGUUCAUCAUCUCGACGUGUGAACGCCUCUGUGUUGAGAUCGAAGCGGAUAGAAGCUGUAAGCAAGCGUGGUGUCUACUUUCAGGAGUGCGACGUCGGCGAGAGAGGCGAAGGAAGCGAUGGAGCGGCACGGCAUGGCCCUGCUGGCGCUGUCUCACGCGUACCGCGUACGGUGGCUGAAGCGGCGGUGCGAGGCGGGCCUGGCGGCGUGGCUGAGCGCGGCGAGGGCGAUGGACGUGCUGAAACUGGCGAGGCUGUGCGACGCGCCGCGGCUGCACCAGCGGUGUUUGAGGCUGGUGGCCGCGGACUUCGUGGCCGUGCAGGAGUCGGAGGGGUGGCGCUUCGUGCAGAAGCGUGAUCCGGCCCUGGAGCUGGAGGUCCUCCAAUUCGUGCAAGAAACAGCCCAGGUUUGUGAUCUGAUCAUCGCCAUGGAUGCUUGUCUGAGUCGUAAUAAUGAUCCUAAUUCUUAUUCUAUUAGACUGCUUGGUGAUUAGAUCUGGAUAGUUAGGGUGGAUUUGGAUCUGAUACAGAAGAAAUUAGCUGUCCUUUUUCGUUGUCUUUUGUUCUUGUAAGGUAGAUUAAGGUAAUUGGAAUUCGUCUAUCUUAGCUACCUACUCCGAUCAAAGGAAGUCGAGAAUUGAGUCGAACACUCGGUAGGAGGAGCCUUUGAGUGCUGAAAAGUCAAGUGAGAGAACAUAAUACAUGAAAUCCAAGCGAUUCCCAUUCCGUUAACCGACAAGAAUCGACAGAAACAUAGAAUUGUGUUGGGUAGUGGAUUAAUCCACGGUGAUCUGCGCAGCGAACGAAGCGGUGGAAGAGAGAGAGAGCGGAUCAAGCGAUGUACAGGCAACUGAGCGAGGCGAUGAACUGCCUGCAGCACAUCUACACCGAAGGCUGCACCGACGUCUGGCCGCACAACAGCCGCCGCCCCGACAACCCUUGCAUGAGUUUUAGCACGUGCGAGGGGCUGCAGCUCCUCAUCCGCCACUUCGCCACCUGCGGCCGGAAGCUGCAGGCGGCCACCAAGACCUGCACGCACUGCAAGAGGAUGUGGCAGCUUUUCCGCCUCCAUUCCUCCCUCUGUGAUCAGCCUGCCUCCUGUAGAAUCCCUCUCUGCAAGUAAGCCAUCCCUCUCGAGCUCAUCAACUAUUGCUUUUGUGUUGAGUUGUUCUUCUGGGGUCUUACCUACCGUCGUUGGCAACAGGCAGUUCAAGGAGAAGAUGCAAGAGGAGAAGGUAGACAAGACAUGGAGGCUUCUGGUGAAGAAGGUUGCUACUGCUAGGGUUAUGUCUUCAUUGGCCAACAGGAAGGUGCCAAAAGUAGUGCACAAGUCAUGGAUGAGAUGUAGAGGAACAAGAUAGGGUCAUGUACAAUCUUCUCUUUCUUGGCUUAGAUGAUUCUUUGAUUCCCACCUUGUAUGGAAGUAAGCCAAAUUCUACUCUAAGAAUGAUAUUGAUCUGUUGUAUGAGAUUGAUAUCGGUAAGAUCAUGCUCCUUACAGUAGCAGAAAUAGAGAUCCGCAGACAAAACAGAAAUGGCAAAACCAAGAACGAACAGUUUGCUUCGCUAUGGUGCACACAGUGACAUGGCAAACAUCCAGUAGAUGGAUUCGAGCAUGGUGAAAUGAGAGAAAACAAGAACCAAAUCAAGAACACUGUAUUCCUUUUUCCAUGGGAUUGAGUCAAGUAUUGCAUUCACGUACUAAACAUCUUGAGAAUAUAUGAGAACUGCUAACCCAAAACUAUACGUACUAUAUGAACUGCAGAUUUCUAUCAUCAGUGCAACUUACGAGAUACUAAGUUCUCGCCCUCUUCCACUCAUGGAAUGAACCUGUUGUUAAUGGGUCUUCGAUCGCUUACACGAGCGUAAUCCUGAUUCCACCACCAAGGCAUCCCAUCCGUCGUCGUCGUACUCGUUCCUCUAACCGCCGUCGGUCUCCGGUCAUCGUGCAGCCUGAUGGCGCCUUUGCAUCAAGGAAACGAAGCACGGAGACAGAGAACAUGUCAAGAACUUUGGGUGAUAACAACAAGAAUGACAUGAUGCAGUAGAAGGAAGGAUGCUUUACCAGCAGCUGUAGGUUGUUGAUGGAGGAAGGAGAGGACUGCAAGCACGAGAAGAGCCAUCCAAACCGCUGCGACUACUCUGAGAUACCCCAUGCUCCCUCUCACUGACCUCCCUUUUGUAUGGAUUCAAAGUUAACUUCUCUCAUCGGUUCAACGAAAGGAGAGUUAAGCGAGCAGACAACCAGGUUUGCUAGUUCCAGUGGCUGGCCUACAGGUUAUGAGAGAAAAGGAAUCUCUAGCUUCUGGUCUUUCUGUGAGCUUAGAGAAAGUUGUCUCUCUCUUCUUCUUUUGUUUCCUAUUGGAGGCUGAGAUCUCUCAGAAUACUUUGUCUCAUGUGAGCUCCACUAGCAGAGUACGAGCACAUGGCGGUGAGAAAUUACUGGUCUAAUGGGUGGACAAGGUCAUAAUGAGGGAGAUGUUUAUAUGAUUAGGGUUGGUUAAAAUUCCUUUCCAAGUCAAAAAGGAGGAUGGAGGGGACUCAUUACUGCCGACUGUCUGUCAUUAGAGUUACAGCCACUAGUCUUCUCUCAUAAUUGGUUGCCACCACCAGGAAAGACUAAUAUAUAAGCUUAAAGACCAUGGAGGAAGAUUAGAGACCAAGAAUUCUAGCUGCUCCAGUUGCAUAAAAAUGAUAGUUGGUCAAAAUAAGGAAAAUAGUAUUUCAAGUUCCAUUUAUUUAUUAGUUUGUCGACAUAUGUAAUAAUAAAAUUUGAAUAAUCAUAUCUAAUUUUCUAAGCUAUAAAUGUACCACAAACAUACUCCGGAUGAAAAUGUGUAUUUGAAAGUGUGGAAUUAAGAAAAAAAAUAAAAUAUUAUUUUCAUUGGGCGAUUGCCCUAUAAAUUAUUUUCUUUUUGGGUUUUAUUUUUUGGGAUGAUAUCCCAUUUUCAUAAUUCUCAAACAAUCAUCUAAUAUUUCUAAUGUCCCAAAAAUGCCCCUUCAAAAAGUUGUUAUUUUUUCCACCCAAUCCAAAAUGGGUGAUGUGUUUUCCUGCUAACUAUUUACAAUGUUAUGAUUAUACAAAAUAAAUCGAUUGGCAUUAAUGACGAAAGGAAAAAUAGAAGAUAUUUCUUAUGAGCAAUAAAAUAUUAAAUUCUUUUAAUAUGAUUAGAGAUGUUGUGAAUGACUAAAUGAAAACAAGUUUGAUGUAGACUCAAAGAUGACAUAUAACAAACUUUUCAUCCUAGGAGAACGCACUAAGAAGAAAUGAAAGAGCUUAAAUAGGUUCUCAAUGAUGAUGUUUAAGCAUGAGGCACAUGCUAAAGGGGGAAGCAAGGCAUCCUAAGCAGAUUUAAUUUUGAAGAACAUUAGCUAGUGAUCCUUCCUGUGGUAAUAGGACGGCACUUCUCUGGUCAUAUGGUUAGUUUCAAUACCUAGUAAAGAAGCCUCAGCAAGCGGAGGGCGUCGAAGCUUUUUAGUAUUGAACUCUCUAGCUGCCGUGUCUGGGAAUCUAGACAAACAAACAAUGCAACAAAAUCCAUUAUUGCAGGACUUACAACUUAGAGAGGGCCACCAAGUCUUCGCACAGUGAAGUUAAACCUGCAUAAGGAUGUGUAGCGUCCUUCCUGAGAAAGGGAACUGCAAAUUCUGACCAUGGCAUUUUCUUCUCUGCACUGCUGUCCGAGUACGGUCGUUGCUGAGGAGAUGAGAAUCAAAAUACCAAUCUGUAAGAAGAUUAGGCUAGCAAGGUGUUAAGAGUAUUGGAAUACAUGAGGCUGGAACCUAAAUGUUCCAAGAAAUAAAGAGUUUUCCAGUUUUGACUAUUUAGUAGCAGCUAGCUUCAUAAGCAUUUGGUUUUUGUGGCUGCCGAUACUGUUCUUUGGAAGCAACAUCGUUUGCUGUGCCUUUGCCUUUAGCAUAUACUGCUCUGCAGAUGGAGACAGCCUUCCCCAUGCACCCAAGCCCUGUCGCAGCCAACCUCCACAUUCGUAGAUGACUUUGAGUGGACCUACAAACAAGGUAGAAGCAACUACGAACAGCACAUACGACUUUUGUCACUGUGUGAAAAUGGGAACAAUGUGAUCCAGACCUCUGAUAAUAAAGUUUACCAGUGUCUCGCACCCAGAACCUUGCCUUUGGAGCUUCCCUUGCAGUCUUGGUCUUGGAUUAGAUUUAACAUCAUUACUGAACACGAUGAGUAUCUAAAAUAAAAUUGAUGAUAGUGAAAUCUUGAUCUCAAACAUCUGAUGCUUCACAAAAGAGAAGUACAUCCUCCUAAUUAUAAAUUACUGUGCAUCUAAUUUUCCUUACUACUUACUACUUACACAUGGAAGGUAGAAAAACAAAUUACUCUGUACUCAACAAAGUGUCACCCUGACCAAAUAUAUCUGGAAUUCCAUCCCAUUUUCCUUCCUCUCUUGCUUCCCAGUAUCCACCCACAUACUGGUAAUAGUCAUCCUCCACAUCUUUUCUGAACCACCUUGGUUGCCAUCCCUUCUCUUGCAGUUUCCUUGCCUAUGAACAAUGACAAAUUUAUUCCAACGUCAACCUGUCUCUAACAAAAAAAAAUUGUGCAAAGAUAAAAUGCUCAAAGUCAUGCCAAUCCAUUAGCAUGAAGUUUACUAUUUUCUUCUCUAUAUUUUUGAAGUGUUGAAUUAUCAAAGUGCCUUCUUUCUUUAUGAAAAAUUUAGGAAUAUCCUAUUAUUCAUCAGGAUGGCAGGCACAUUCUAACACUACAUAAAUGUGAAGGGUUAUAUAUUCUAUUUUUUUAUUGACAAAUCCAUGUCCAUAUUAUAGCUUAAUUAUCAAAGCGCCCAUAUUAUCAUAACUUAAUCCAUCAAUUUCACCUAUAUCAUAAAUAAUUAAUUCUAACGCAUGCUAAAUUUAGUUCCAACUAACAGGCUUACUCCAUGUAGUAAAUCAUAAUUCUGAUUCAACUAUUAUCUAGUUUGCUAUUGAAUGGAUCUCCAUUGUUUGUCCAAGACUCCUAUAUUAAAUGUAUCAAAUUUCCUGGUAGCAUGAUUUGACAAAUUUCAAAGUGAGAAAAGAAAAACUGGCGGUUACCUAAAAUCAUUAUCAAAGGCAAAAGAAAUGCAGAUGGAAAUCAUAGUAUGUGAGACAAUGGGGAAUAGUUCUACAUGUCGAAGCAGUGACAAAAUACCUGUCUUUGCAACUGUUCCAGCCUGAGUUUCUCUGCAUUUGCCAGCUCAUAUUCACCAUUCUCUAAAUGCCGCUGAUCAGGCCUUAAGCGGGAGUCAGUUGGGGGCAACUUCUCCAUCAAGGAUGGUGUCAACUCAUUUAAUGAAAUAGCAAAUGGUGUGAGGUUGUAUCGUGUUUGUGUUACAGACUUGUCUUGUUCCCAAAGCAGCACAGCCUCUGACAUUGGAUCAUAACCCUUUGGCUUUGUACUUGGGUCUCCGAGCACAUAAUACAUGGCCUCAUCCCACUUACCUAUCAACAUAGCUACCUUGUUACCGGUUCUAUUAUCUUGCACAAAACCAUGCACCUGAACAACAAAACAAAUCUCCUUGAGUAAACAGAGAGGUGAAGAAGACAUAAAUAUGACAGAUCACAAAACAACUGUGAAACCAUCACAAUAGCAAUCAUCUAAAUUUUAAAACAAGGACAUAAAAGCACCUUUCAUGCAAUAGCAUAAAUAUCAGAACAAAUGUAUUGAUAUAUAUAAACAAAGAACUACUAGAAUCAGAAUAGAAUAAUCCGUAUCACUCUAAUAUGAUGAAGCAUGCCAUCCUUGGAAUAACUUGCAGAUCAUUGUUGGGUCCAAUGCUUAUCGACUGUUUUUUAUGCAGUAAUCCCAUUACUACUUAUAGCAAGUCAAGCCCAAUUUUCGUGAUUUUAUUAUGGUUAAAUUUUUAAAAACAAGAUAGUCUGUUCAAAUAACAACUAUUGGAUAUUGCAUACUGAAGUAGUUAUUCUCCUUAUACAAAAUGGAUUGUGCUUAAAAUAGAAAAGAGAAAUUUACAAAUAUAAUAAAUAUACUUUAAUAAACAAGUUUACAAUCAAAACUGUCACAAGUGCUUUGCUGUAAGGGAUGAUUCUAUUUUUUUGCUUAUAAAAAAAAACUGCAUUGAUGAAAACAAUCAGUUGCAUAUAAAGAUAUCGCAACAAUUUUAUGCCGCUAGAACUAGUGACAAGUGUGUUUCGGGAUUCAGACAUCUGCAAGAUCGUAAAAAUACCUGAUGGGGAUUACGAUCAAUGAUGGACUGUUCUUUAAAUUUGAGCUUGCAGGAGUAAUGGCCACUGCCCCUUAUUCGCAUAGUACCAUAGUGGUCACAAUAGAUUUUUCCAAUAAUUAUGUUGUAUAUUGAAGUAGUGACUUUAGUCCACUGAAAUGUCUCUCCAUCUUCAAACUGAAGAGUUAAGAUCCCAAUAGGAUCAAGCUGAAUAGAUCGGCCCCAAAACUUUCCUUUUAGAUUGGAAUCACCCCAGAAUUUCCAUCCUCUACCCUCACAGUGACAAGCAACAAUCAUUGGAUGGUGGCUCACCUGAAAGAAAAUCAUAUGUUACUAAAACCAGUAAUGUGAUGUUCAUGACAAUGCUGUAGUGCUCCAAGCAUUAAAAGAACAUUUGUUGAACAGAAAAGAAUGAUAUGCAAGGAAUAGAAAUAUAAUGAGAGGGCAUAUCCAUCAUAAUUAAUUAUUACAUAGACCAACUGCCGAGGAAAGAGAAACUGAAACCUUCUCAGAGAAGAAGCGGAGGCCCUUGUCUGGAUAAUCAGCUUCAUAUGUCUCACCAAGAAGAGGGUUAAAGGGUUUGCACUGUCGGCCUUCUGUCGAAGCAUACCCAGAAACAGCAAAAGCAGCAAUGUGAAGAAUCCUCAUCAGGCUGUUUCCCUGCAGUAUGUUCAUCUUGUUUCCUUGUUAUCAGCAUUCGAGCAAUAAUAAAUAUAUUCAUAGACAUCAAAGAGUGCAUUUCUUACAAAAUCUUUCAUUUUUUAUAUAUAACUAUGUCAGGCAGAUGGAGAUUAUGUUAAUGGAGUCUCAUAAUAGCCAUGAUUAAUUAAACCAGCAACUAAAGCUACAUAAUGUUGGUUUUAUUAGUACAUAAAAUUUAAAAGUCUGCCAGAUAUAGUGGUACCGAAAUUUGAUAGUCUAUUGUCAGUUCUUUGCUAGAACUAUUUCCAAACUUAAGGAUGUUUCGAUUAACAUAAAAUUUAAGGAUGUUUCAAAGAGAUAUAACCGUAUUCACUAUAGUUUGAAUUAACAUUACAAUAUUUUCAGCAACCAUUCUAAUCACUACCGGCACUAUCGCCAUCAAGCAUUCAUGAUCACCAUUCUGCAGGAUCAGAAGCAAAAUGAGAGAUCUGGAUAAAUGUGACAACAGUUAAGAAUGGUACCACAACUAAGAAGAUAUAGGUCACAGCUUCCAUGCUGCUUCCUAUCAACAUAUCAUGGGCGACACUGGAGAAAUCAAAUUUGAGAAGGCUCCAAUGAAGAUCUAGUAAAAUUUUAAAACUGACUUUCCACUACCACAUUAAGUCCUUGCAUGUGGCAACCAGAAGACUUUCAACCAUAUCUACAAGGUUUUUAUCUCAAUAAGCAGAGAGAAGAUUUGCACAUGAUUACAAACAGAAACAGAUGUAAUAGUGGCCUUACCACAAAUGAUACUACCCAGUUUACACUAAAACGUCAGGUCUUAGAGCUAACUAGAGAGGGACCAAAUAAAUUAUGGUGAAAUAUAGUCCAUCAAAGCCAUAAUUCAAUAUGGAGUAGUUCCUCGAAUCAAAGGUUGUCUGAAAAACACACGGGAAGAUAAUCUUAUGUUGCACUGAAGGUGUUUCCUAAAGAGGAAACUUUCAAAAUAUGGCACUGCAUGUGUCGCAAGAUAUAUCGGUUAAAUUUUGGAUGAUAUCCUUCAUCUAGUACUUUCUGUAAUGGACAAAAUGCACCUACAUAAAAUUAUUCCAUCGACUUGUCAUCCUGGGUUCAAAUCUAUGAAAUGGACUAUACAAAAUGUGAAAAAAGGGAAUAAUUUUGGUAUUCCUAAGGCCUGCAACAUUGUUAUUAGCCAGCACUACGUUGUCUUUUCGGAAUAUGCACCUACAUGAAAGUAGAGGUAAUUUUCAUAGCAGAUUUUACGCAUUAGGAGUACCUCACUGCACCAACCUGGAAAAAAAUAAACCUAAAAAGUUCCAAAAGAAGGUUCAUUUGCCUACCGAAUAGCCCUAGGAAAUUUUUAGUCGUCGGUGCUGCAGUUUGUGCAAUCUUACUAUCUUUAACACAAAAGCAAGUCGACCUUGCAAGGAUUUAAAUCUUGUUCUGAUAUCAGUUUCGGUAAUCUACCGGACUGGUAUGGUACCAGUGUAAUAGAGUAUAACGAUCUGUACCACCCAGAAUCACUCGAAGAAAAUAUGAAAAGAUUAUAUACUGACGGUAUGAGACCAUAUGGUUCAAUACCGAUCCUUGCUUCGACAGGGAAAAUAUGGAUUAGCAUACACCAUACAGACCAGUAUUUACCUAGCCAUAAAUUAACCAAAUAGCUUCUGAUUUGCUUUAACAAAAGUUUAAUUGGUCAGACAAAUACUCAAAUAGAUAACAAACAUAAAUGUUUCAAUAAGUGAUGGAUCAAUCAAAUCUACAAAACCAUCAUAAGAAUGUAUGAAUCUUCCUAUAUAUGUUAAGAUUCAUUGGAUGAGGAUAUAAUGCGACAUUUUUGUUUUGUGUACAUGAUACUAUGACAUGAAUGAUCAACUAUCAGCUUAAUAAUUAUUGCUUAUGCAUAUGUUAGACUUAAGUGGACACUCCUACCGUCAUGUAUAGAGACGACCUCAAACAGGUUUAUUAUAAAUAUUAAUGCAUACAAAAGUGAGAAUAUUGUUCUACGGUACUAUAAUUGAAAAAAAAAAAACAAAAAAUAACUAUUUAAAAGGUGCAAUUAACCACGUAAGAAGUUUCUUCAUUAUUAUUUGAUAUAUUAGAAUCACAUGAAAGACUAGGAAAGAUUCUCGCCAACAGAAAAGAAAAUCUAAAAGUAUAACCAACAACCCAUUCCACUGAAGAUUCAAUAAAAAAUUUGUAGAUAAGAUAUUGUACGAAGAAUUGUCCUGGUCAAGACCAAUGAUCAGGUAAUAUGCUUACACUUCUAGAAUAAAAUUUCUGAAGAAUUAAGGCUUCCAAAUAAAAGACCAAGACAAACAUUCUCCUAAGCAAUCGAAAAGUGUAUUUCACCAAAAUGAAAAGAAAUUAAAUGUGUAACCAUACCUGCCUUCCCCAUUCUAACGCUCGAUCCACCAAGUAAGAAUGUUCCAGAUCCUCAAAGCAUUUCUGCAGAGAAGAGAGUGGCUCAUUGAAGUAAACAGGAAGACAGACUCCAGAAAGAUCCUUCCCAAUAUUCUCUUUGAUUAUUGACCACAAACCAACAGGUUUCUCCUUUUCCUUGGGCUCAGGCAAUUUGUUCCUCCGCUUAACAUAUGGAUACUCAAUCAUUUGAACUCCUGUACUAAUAUCUUGAAUAUUGUCGGGAAAGUAGGAUUCAGUACAACAUGUUGACCCAGUGCAACAAUUACCCAUAACUUCCCUACUACGAUACGAAGCACUUCUAAGUGACUCGGAAGAUAAGAAGUCUCUAGUAUCAAAGUACAUGCCAUCAUCUUCAUCUGUUUCUGCAUCUGCCCCUUGACUUUCAUUAUCAGCUUCAGAGUCAGUUGCUGUUCCCUCUGAUAUAACUGAAUAGAAAUCUGCACAAAAGAAAAGUGAGGACUGUUCUCAAAAAGGAAAUGCACAGACAAGUCUAAACAAAAAUUGAGUUUAGUUAUGUUUAUUACAAUAUCAGAUGGUAAAAGGUGUAUAAUUCGGGCAUAAAACAUGAAAAUGUAAGGUAAAAUGGUAAAGCUGCCAAUUAAAUGUCUAACAUAAACAAGAAGGGUAAAAACAGCAUGAUCACUGGAAAUAUGAAAUUUAACAUUAAAAAAAGAAUUAAUUGUAAAUUCCAAAUUAACUAAAGCUUUUUCAAAUAAAAAAGUUAAUCGUAUGGUCUUGGGCUCGAAUCCUAUCUUCGCCGCUUACUUUUUCAAAUAAUAAUAAUAAUAAUAAUAAUAAUAAUAAUAAUUUGGCCACUUAAUUUUGAUAAACUGUAUAAAAUCAUCAUGCUUUUCUACUACAAUUUUGAGUUCUAAAUUGAAUCAGUGACUAUCUUGUUCAAACCAUUUGUCCCACUAGCAACUUGUAAAUUCUUUCCAUUCGUCUCUGUGUAAUUAAAUUGUAUGCUAUUUCUAUUAUUCCACAGAUGAAUAGGGAAUCUUGCAUAUUUUGAUGGCAAUAAGUGUUCCAGAAUGCAGAAUGCAUACCAUUUAAAUUUUUGGAAAAAAACCAUUGCAUUUAGGAUAUAGCAGCUAGAAGAAAAGAAUUUAGGGAUCAACAAGUGCAUAUUCAUCACAUAAGACAAAUAUUUUUAAGAGUGGGACAAAUGGUUUGAACAAGUUAGUCACUGACUCAAUUUAGAACCAAAAAUUCAAAAGCUUCAGUAUGUUACAUAAGCAGCUUGGAACAAAGAUUCAUGUAAGAUAGGAACAAGAUCCCAACACUACCUAGGACUAAAACGAACCAAUGGUUGAUGAUACAGAUAUGGAAACAAGCAACACACUAGAUAACAUAAAUUUAUGCUUUUACUUCUUGUAUUGAUAUCACAAAUCAAGGAGACAUAAACAGUACUAACCGCUAAAUCUUCCAUUCAUCAGUCCAAGAUGUGCUUCACGUUCCUUUGUUUCAUCAAUCACUGUAGUUUCCAAUUCAACUUUCUCUGUCUGCAUGAACAAAACUCCAGCAAUAAGGGUACUCGCUAUACAAUUAUAAUAAUAGUAAGCAAAUAUUUACCCAUAAGAAACAGUAAUUAAUUAUACAUAAAUAUGCAUAUAAUAUAAUAUCUAGUUGCCCUUUCCAAGUAAUAUUAUGUUCUUUCUUAAUUUUUCGUGUUGGUUUGUCCGCAUCGUAUCCAUGCCCCUAUGUCCAUUUCCCCAUUUACUCAUCCACCCUUUUAUCCCUGUGCUUUCCUCAUGAAUCCAUGCAUCUCCAGUUACAAGGAGGGAAAUUAAUAGGAAAAGGAAAAAGUAGAAGAAAAGAAUAAAAAAAAAAAGAGAACAUAAAAGAGAAGAAAAGAGAAAUGAAAUAAGAAGAGAAGGAACGAGAAAACAAGGAAAGAAAAGAGAUCAGAACAGAAGAAAAGAAGAUUAAAGAAAAGUUUUGGCUUAGUAGAAACAUAGAAAAAAUAGAGAAUAUGAAGAUAGAUAACAAACAAUGUAAAAAUAGCAAGUCAAAUGUAAUAAGAAUGCAUAUGAUAAUUUAUAACAAAUAAGAAAGUAUAAACAAAUAAUAUAAACUAAAAACUACAGAAUAGAAUAUAAUAUCAGAUCAAAAAUAAAAACAUCUAAUAAAAUUAGUCUCUAAAAACAUAGAAGUGUUAACUGCCAAUUUCUAUAAAAACAUAAACUACAUAAAUUUAAUAUAGAGCUGGACAAUCAGAAAACAUUCAAAAUUUAUUUACUAAAAGUUCAUAAAAAAUAAGGAAAUUAUUAUGUGAAACGAUUAAUAAAAAUAGAAAUGAAUCCAUAAAGUUAUAGAAAGAUAAUAGUCUCUCUUCUCACUUCAAAAGAGUAGUUAGAUUCAAAUUUUCAAAAAAAAAUUUAAAAAAUAGAAGCAAAGCUAAAUAAUCACUAAAAGUUUAAUAUUCUGUUUCUAAAAAUAAUUACUAAAUAGUAUAUCCGCUGUAAUAAUCAGUAAGAGAGAAACAAAUUGUUAAUUUAUCUAUAGAUCAUUAAAUAUUUUUCCGUUUUCCUGUUUCCGAAUCAGUAUAUCUUGACUCUUAAAUGAUUCCAAAGUCUUUUUGGUUGAAAUCCUGAUCCUCCAAUCCAUAUCGUCCAAUUUAUCUAUUGCUUGAAGUCUUGUGAUCCUGAUUCUACCCACAGGUCACUUCUGAUCCUAAUUUAAAAUACCAAGUUAAACAUUAUAUGAUGCUGUGCUUCUUCAUUUUAGGACCAAUUGAUGAAUAAUGUUAAACACAAAAAGAACAGUUUUAAAGCACUUCAAGCACCCAAUGGCAUUAGAUACUGUAAAUUUUCUUCUCAGGUGCUAUAUCAUUGAAUUUUAUUGAAAAGUAACAAGAGCUCUGAUUAAUAGCAAAUGAUCAAAAAGAGGUAAAUUUAUUUUGGCAGAAUAUUGAUUUAAAGCAAAAUUAGAGAAACUUAUCAAACUAAUUAUUGUAUCAAUUAAUUGAAAAUAAAACCCUCCUAUUCUAUGUUGCAUUGCCAAUGUAUUAGCCUCAGAGUCAUUUUAUAUCUACCAGCAAAUUAUUUGAACAGUGGUAUACCAUUCUUUAUAAAAUUUCAGAAAUUUUACCUCCAACUGCCUUAAUGUGUCAAGCAGAAUAAGAUGCUUCUGCUGCAGAGACUUUAAUUGAUUCUGCAGCUCAGAGAUUUCAGAUAGCAUAAUAGACUCACAUUCUUUCACUGUUGAUUCACUCAGUCCUUCCUGCAACAGUCUUCCUCGCAGCUUGUCAGUCGAGACAGUAACUUCUACUGAAGGUUCAGAUGCAUUAAUUGUCAGCAAAUGCGCAAAAUUCUCUUUGGCAGACAACAAAGCUUCAAUCCAUGCAGUUCGAUCUUCUCUAGAAUCACACCGUAGAUGAAGAGUUUUCGUGCCAGUAAAAAUAUACAGCCUUUUGUCAUCUGAUUUGCUAGCACGAAUUGAAGUAACCUGAAAAAUCAUUUCACUGUGCACUCAUAAAAAAAAUAUAUUAAAUAGGAGACCAUGUAACUAGUUUUGAAUGGAUUAAGAGAUCAUAGCAGGAUCCAAACAAAUACCACAAUGGACACAGGUUGAAGCAAGAGUAAGCAUGCUUAUUUUGAUCAUUUUAUUUUAUUACUGAUCAAUAAAAAUUAUGCCAAUACCAUAGGUAUUGCUAUGCAAGGAGCUAGAAAGAAAACACACUUGCCUUCGAAGGAUGUUUUCUUGAUCGUACAACUUAUUCAUGUAUUGUAGAAAAUGUUAUGAUGGAUCGUUGAGGCAAAAUUUAGAAGAUAUAAGAACUAAAUUGUAUAUUGCUAUAGAGCAUAAACCAUAAUUUCAUGAAUGGGAAAUACCUUCCAUCUUCAAAAAGAUGUCUUUGUUUUAGCAGAUUGAUAUCUGAUUAACAACUGCACAAUGUUCAAAGCUCAAUUUUGCAAAGGAAGAACUAAUAGGACUAUAGAUAACCUGAAGGAUGUUAUCUUACUGCCCCAGAAUUUCCUGUAUAAUUUGACUAAUAAUCAUGGAAGACAGCAGAAAAAAUGAUGCGAAACAACUAAAUUACAAAGACAAGAGAAAUCCUUCAAAAUUAUAGCUAAUAUACUGGUAUCCUCUCUUUUUUUCUUUGCUUAGCCUGAGAUAUGAAUUUCUUGAAUUUACAUUUUUCUUGGCAUGGCUACAGGUAACUUAUAUGGUUAAGCUCCCUUAUCUGUGGGCAUUCUUGUUGUACAAGAUUGUGGCAAAAAAGAUAAGUAAUGAUGUAAUUUGAAAAGCGAAUGAACAAUCAGACAUAAUGUCCCAACUAUUUUAGGUUAGCUCCAUGAAUCUUUUCCCACCAAUGAGCUCUCUUUAGAUAAUAUCACUUGUACUGUUUUACAAACCGACCACACUGAUCGAUACUGCUGACUUGUGCAAAGACCAAGCAAUUUCACUCAGUCUAAUCCUAAACCUAUCUUACCACUUGGUAAACUUAAGCUGGGCCAUUAUCAAGUGGUGUUAAGCAACAAUCUACAGCCCAAUAUGAAACCCAUUAAUGUAUUUUUCCUCUUGUCUUCCCCGUUGCCGCCUCUCCUCCUCUCUGCUGCAUUGUUGCAUCACCAUCUCCCCGGUCAUUGUUUUCACUCUUCCUCUGCUCAUCCAUAUCGCCACAUCCUCAUUUCUCCUCCAUCACAUGGGACCACUCCUCCGUCUCCUCCUUUCCUCCACCAUCUCCUAUUCUCUCUCUUUCUCUAUUUGUAGUGGUCCAUCCAACCACUACGAACGAGUAUCAGCCCUUACCAACAUCCAUAUACUGUAUGAUAUUGACGUCAUAACGGUUUGACCAUCAACCAGUAUUAGUACCAGAUAGAGAUCUUAAUCCUUGUUAAUAGUCUAAUUUAGAGCAAACAGUUCUUUCUCCUAAUGAGGUUUUAAGCCUCCUACUUCUCUUCAAAUUGGAAGUCUUAAUUGAUUCACUCAUCAAAACAGGGUUAAUUCUCCUGCGUUCAUAGCAUCUUUAAAUGGUUUUUCCUCAUGUUACCUUUGGUCAGAAGUCCAUUUAAUUGUUCAUGAAAAACAAUAAGGAGUCAAUUUAACCUUGGUGCAACCACGUAGUAACCAACAAUGUAUCUUCUACAAAAUUUUGAAGUAACUACUCUAUCCUUUAUGUAUUUGGCCACGAUAAUGUAUCCACUACAAACUCAUUUCUUUACUAAUUCUCAGCACUUUUUAUAUAAAGGAAUUUUGUCAUAAGUUUAUUUUCCAAGGCAUCAUAAAAUCUUUACAAAAAUAAUUAUAUACUAUAUUUUAAGUAAAUAGUUUAUUGCAACCCAUCUCAUAUCUAUAAAUUGUUGUUAUUGUACUUUUGAAAUUAUUAUGCAUGUAUGAUCUAUCACAAUAUCCUACUGAGUGACAUGUUCUUUGGUCAAAUAUCUAGAUAAAGGACUAUCAAGGUAGUGAUUAACCCUUCCAGUCACAACAGUGAAACACACAUCCAAUAGGGCAUUAACAUUUUCAUUUUGCUAAAACCUCAUAAGUUAGAAGAGAAAGAAAGAGAAUGUGAUUCCCUGGGAGGAUGAAACUAGCUUGUCGGGAGAUCAGAAAACAAUUUAAGAAAAUGAGCUUAUAGAAGAAACCACAUAAUUAACAGGGUCAACAUCAUUAUCACCUAGUUCAUGUAUAAACCAUUUCUGAUAUUAAAGAUUGUCACCCAUGCUUUUACUGAUCUAAUUUUCAAAAGAACUUGAACUUCAUAUUUUGCCGCAUCUGCUGAAAUAAAUCGUGAUUUCAGUGAACCUAAACAGUAUAAAGAUCCUACAAAGACCCGUAUUCCCGAGAGAUUGGGAUCAGAAGGAACAGUUUCAUGAUAUCAUGUCUAAACACAAAAUAACAUGGCAUGACCCCGCUGCUUGUUGCAACUUCAAAUCCACUGGCAUCAAGAAAACUUAACUACACGAUUCAACAGCAAUAGAAUACCUCAAGAAUCAUAUCGACUUAUCGAGUAAGAGCGAAAUAUUCAGUAGUAGCGAACAUAAGAGAUGAAGAGCAGCCCGAAAUCUCACCUUCAGGUGUACCUCCCCAAAUGGCUUCCACUGGUUUGCAGCCCCCCAACCCACGAAACUACCGCUCUCCCACUGCUGCUCUUUCCUCACCCGUCUCAGCGACUCCUCGCCGAUGACCCUCACCCCAGCCUUGCACGCUGCGGGCCCCACCGAUACCCUAUCCGGCCCAUGAACCUUGUAGUACGACAGCACCCCGUCCUGCAGCACGAACCACCGCGAACGCCACCCUUUCCCGUAGUUCACCCACUUCCAAAGAACCCCCGCCACCGCCCCAUUCCCACUGCCACUCUUGGCAUCCCCACCCUCCGCUAACCCGGCCGCAGCUGCAGCCUCAUCCGCCGCUUCGCGGCGCGCGGCGGCAUCCGAGUCCGAGGGUAUCGUUGGUGCCUGGAUCAGCUUCUUGCUGGACAAGCUCCUGGAGGGGCUCUCGGCCCCCAGCGGGGGCUUCGCCGCCUUGAGCGUCCCCACCUGGGAGGGGUCCCCGCGGUCGCCCCGCUCCAGCGACACGGGCGCAAUGCAGCACAGAGGAUUCAUCUUCCAGGGGGUUGCGAUCUCCAGAAGUUCCACACCAAGGAGAACGAUCAAGCAGAAGAGAUCAAGCGACGAUGAGAUCUCGCCGAAUCCAAAUCGGCGGAGAGGGGCUGCGAUCGGAGGGCCGCCAUUUCAGGGAUCGGCGGAGCGACAUGAGAGCGCCGCAUCCAGAUCUGAAGAAGAAGAAGAAGGGGAGAGAGAGAGAGAGAGAGAGAGAGGGUUGGGUUGUGCUAAUAAAGAAUAUUAAUGGGCGGAGGAGUUGUUAAGAGAGGAACAGAAGAGGGCAGAGGAGGAAGGCAAGUAAGCGGAGGCGCGGCAGAUCUAUUAAAUUCGCUGAACGGGCGCAGCAGAAACGGCGGCAGCUGCAGCACCAGCGGUGGGCAGGGCAGCAGGCAGACUAGUAGAGAAGUAGGGAGGGAGGGAGGGAGGGAGAGGAGAGGAUGAAAGAGACCGGAUGGGCCUCCCACGGAUCGCCCGUUUGCUCCACCUCUACGCCACAUCUUACAAUGGCGUCACUUGGCUGCCAAGUGGCCGUGCCGGUGAUCCGCAGAUGGGUAGGAAAACGGGUAGACCGGAGUUAGUGAAGUCAUCUCUCGCUGGGCGCUCGCCGAAGACCGCGGUGGGUCCCCUUGGCUCCUUCAGUGAUCGCACUGGUAAAGGAGGUGGUAAGGAACGGACGGAGACGGGCCACGGGGUUCUCUCCCAUUCACCGCGAUGGCAUAUCAAGGCGUCGACGACGGGUGGAACGGAGAAAUCGCUUGUGGUGAUCCGUGUGGAGCUUACGUUGGUGCACGUUUGGGCUGGGUGGUGGUGAGGAGUAAUAGAAAUUGGAUGUCUCUUUUAUUGAGGGAAUAUAUUUGAAGGCAAAUGCUUGAGCUGGGAAACCUUCGGAAGAGAGCAUGAGCAUUGAAGGGGGAGGGGUUGGCUUGGUGAUCUCUUUUCUUUCACUUUAUGACUUUUUGUUUGGCAUAUGUUAUCAUCCCAUCUUCUUUUUGGUGAUUUAUGGCUAAUGUGACUACAAUCAUAAAUGAAAAUGGGGCCAUGGAUAUGAUCGACUAUAUUAUCAUAAAUAAAAAGAGAUUCGAUUUUUCUAGUGUCAAGUUCUUUAUCGACUAAGAUAGGUAAUAUCUAUUAUAUUUUAAAAAUAGAUAUGAUAUAUGAUAUUAUCAUGAACGAAUAAUUCAUGAAUUUAGUCACAGUCGUAAUGUUUUGGAAGAGAGUUUAUGCCUCACGCACAUCAACCAUUCAAAUAAAUACAAAGCAUUAGCACAAGGUUUAAGAAUUCUUUUGGAUUCCAAACAAAAAAUAUUCACUUAUUUUCUACUAAAAAUAAAAAUAUGAAUUACCAAGAAAAAUUCUUCAUUUGGGUUUUCUUGAUAAGCGCUUGUCUGUGUUUCGGAUUUCUCAAAUGGCAUUCCCAAUUUUGACUUAAUUCUUAAAAUACUCGAGGAGUAUCUAAUUAUACCUCAUAAAUCGUUUGUUGAAUAAGUCUAAUUAAUUAGAUAUAAGUUUUUUAAUAAAUAAUAUUUUAAAAAUAUAUAACGUAUAUUUAAAAAUAUUAUAGUCGACAUAUAAUUCUAUUUAAAAUUUUAUUUUUAUAUUAGUUAGUUUUUGUUGAGGGAAAUAUUUGUUGACGUCCGGAUGUGGUUCAAACCUAUAUAUAUAUAUAGGAUUAUCCAAAGUUCUUUUGAAAGAGAAACAUUAAGCUAUCUAGAUGCCAUCUACAUGAAGAUUGAGAUUGGAAAAUGUUUUUUGACCCGAUCUCUCUGAUGUCCCCAAAAUAUAUGAGUAUGGACAUGAGUGAUCAAAAAAUACUUUUAUUUUUAUUAUAAUGAAAAUAAGCUUUUAUAUGUGAUCGUAAAGGGAUAGAAUAUUUCUAGAAUAUUCUAUGAGGAGACAGCCUCUAAUUAUUUUUAACAAUCUCCCCUUGGGAGCAACCCAUAAUAACUUGCCUUAGACCCUAGAUAUGUGAAUGAUGCUCUUUGUCUACUCCUUCUACCCUAAAUAUUAUAUGAUGGUCAUGUGUUAGAUGAAGAUUGAUUAAUGAUAUACUUCUAACAUUUGUCCCCCUCCUUUCUAUCAAGGCGUGCUUUGAGAUUUUUUUCGAGAGGAGUCUAAAGUGCAACAUCUAGUUCAUACAACAUGUUAAGCCUAUACCUCUUUAAUCUAUCGCUUAUUUGGUGGCACGUUUAGUUCGUUCGACACGUUUCAUUCAUCGUGCCCGAGCACUGUUGGUGACGAUCUCUCAUCGAUCUACCUUUAGUAUCAUCGAGGGAUGCACAUUGGUUUGACAAGGUCGAAUUUCCUAACCUACCAAUCUCUUCUCGACCUAAUUGAGUUUGCCAACCUCCACGGCUCAAGCGAAAGAGGGGGUCAAGUUUUUCCAACCUCCAUGACUUAAACGAAGACGGGGGUCAAGUUUCCCAACCUUAUUGUCUCGGGUGAAAACGAGAGUCGGGUUUCCUAACCUCCAUGCAUCGAGUAAAGACAGGAGUCGGAUUUUUCAACCUCCCCAUCUUUGGUGAAGGUAGGGGUCAGACUUCCUGACCUCCAUGCCUCUACGAAGCUGAGGGUUAGGUUUCUCGACUUUCUCAUUUUGGACGUAAGCAGGGUCAAUCUUCUUGUCUUCUACGCCUGAAGUGUAGGUGAAAGUUGAGUUUCUUUUAAUUCAUUAUUUUAAUGAAUUAAGAAAAAAGUAUAAAUAUUUUGUAAUAUUGCAAUUGCAAAAUGCAACUUAUACUUAUUAGCAUAUGCUUAACCAUUUUAAAUCAACUAUUCAUAUUUAAUUUUGAUCCUUAUUAAGUAUAUAAGAGAUUUUCAUCUUUUUUAAUAACUCAAUAUUGGGAAUGCCAUUAUUAAUGAAUUAUCAAUUAAAAUAAUUUUAUAAAUAAAAAAAAAUUCAUCUAAAAUGAAUUAUCAAAUAAAACCUCCAAUUUCCCUCAAACUCUCAAUUGUUCUCUUUUUUUUCAUCAAGGAAACUAUGGCAAAUAGAAUCGAGUUUGACGAGAGGUCUGACCGACGGCGUCCACGGUCAAGUCAACGUCAAACUGCGACUCCCUACCCGUAAACAGUAUCUCAACGAUUCAUAAGAACGAACGUAACAGUUAAUGGGUGGAGACACCAAACAGCAACGAGGAAAUUGUCGGCAUUUUAUAUGCGAUGCUGCAGCAAACCAAACAGCAGAUCCUGAGGCACCAAGCAAACCAAACAGCAGAUCCGAAGCCGUGAGCACAGAGCAAACACGUGGCAAUCCUUGAAAGCUUUCCCCUCCCAGAUCGCGGGAUCCGCUGCCCUGCGGGCGCCACCUGUCUCUGGAUGCGUUGUGGAAUUUUACCCGUGAUCCUGAAGGAAACCAAGCAGCAGAUCCGGAGGCGCGAGCACCCGGCAACAACGUGGCUGCGUUACAAAGCGCUCCCCUGCCAGAUGGCGGUAUCCGCUGCGCUGGUCGCGCCACCUGUCUUUGUGUGCGUCGUGGAAUUUUACGUGUGAUUCUGCAGCAAACUAAACAGGAGAUCCGGAGUCCACAAGCACGCGGCAGCGACAGCCGCCAAACACUGCUCUUCUUCUUCAAAAUCGCGGGAUCCGCUACGGCGUUGCUUCAAGGCGAGCCACCCGCUCCCAAUCUGACACGCGGACCUUGCUUCGUCGUCGUCGUCGUCACUAGCAUCGCCGCCGAAUCGCGCCGGUGGAAACUCUUCUCUGGUCCCCCAUUGGGCGCUGCUUCCCGGCCCGCAGUGGUCAUCGUCAGCGGCACCGAGUAUGGGCGACAUCAAAUUGGUUGUAUGGGAGUCGUUUGAUGAUAGAAUACAUGUUCUGCGCAUAUGGAUGAGUCUACUAUAGCUGCAGACUGACGCAUUGUAUCACCGAACAAAGAGAAACAUGGCGACAACCCAAAACAUCAGAUAUCUAACUAUAAGUUCCAGCAGCGUUCCACAUCAAUGCAACUCUCAUAUGCAGAUUGUAAUAGAAACAUAAGUUAUGAAACUAAUGACUUCAUUUCCCCCCAAAAAGAAAAGGCUUCCGUGUUGCUCAAGUGAUUUGUCAUGCUGGAUCCCAGUAACAUCCAUUAAAUUGGGUCUACAUGAAAUCAAAUAUUGUCUGGUUUUCUUCUUUCAGACACUCUGUAGACUGAGAAAGGAAAAAAUAAUGGAAGAAAUGAAGGCAGUUGUGAAGUUAUCGAAUGGCCAUAAAUAGAGGAAGCAAUUCCUGCAUCGACGAUAAGCAGCAUCAGCAUUAUCCAUCAGAAAAUGGAAAAAGAAUCUUCUUCUCAUAUGUGAAGCUAAUUGCAAUAGAACUUAUGGGGCUCUGUCAAAGGGGGAAGUGUCAUUGUAGCAGAUGUCCCAGACAGCCUCAAUGGCAUCUUUUGCAGCUACAGCUGAGCAAUAUGGAUUGUUCUGAACCGACUUUAGAGCACGCCUUCGCACACAUUCCUUUGUGUCCCCAAUAAAUAUGAGACAAAAUAUUGCAAUUAGUGUAGCCAUUAUUUGAUUAAUACAACGCUGACAGUAUUAACAAGGACAGAGUAGAAAAAUCAUCAGACAACAUAGUUGAUUAAUUCAUGGAGCAUGGUAACAAUUUCUCAUGUGUAUUAAAUAGCAUAUGAAGAGGACAAAAGAAAAAGAGAGAAAGAGUUGGUUUGCAUAACUAGAAGUUAAAGAAAUUUGGCAUCACUACAGGAGCAGCCAACUCUGUUAAGCUUUUGCAACCUACAACUGAUUUCACAUCCCAAGAAAGCUUGUUCAUUCUCUUAUACAACUUUUUAGUUAAAUAUAAUGAUAACAAAACUGAUCAAAUAGAUUUUUCCUGACCUUUUGCAAAUAUUUCUUCAACCAAGAUCUUGCCAUCCAACAGUAAAUAUAUAAAGAAACAAUCGGGUCAAGUUGAACAUAUGUCCAAUGCAUAAGCUGCAUUGGUGUAAAUUCUGCUUUCAGAUUCGAUGUUAUUUUUGUCCACACAGGUGGCACUUCCUAAGUCCAUCCAGACUGACAUUUAUAAGGUUUUGGUUAAAUGUUGCAAGUUCUUAUCACAAAGGUUUGAGGACUCGAUCUACAUGACCAUAAAGACCCAUUUAUUAUAUGUAGGAUGCACGAUUUGCAGCAUAAAAAACCAUCAAGUUAUCAUGAACAAGCCUAUCACCUAUUAAGAAACCAUAAGAAACCAGAGGUCACGAAAUCCUAAGCUGAAGAUGUGGUUGAUGUCCAACAACCUCAUAGAACCAACUUCUUUACAUGAUAUCCAUGCUUUAUUGGCUGCUAUCAGUCUCUUAUCACUACUGAUUUCUGUGUGUCAGAAUGCAUUCAUUCAUUGAAAUCAUAAGUGCUCUAAUUUUAUCAGAUAUUCACCCUCAAUAGAGUUAGUUUCUUAAUAUUGAGUUAGAUAUUCACUAAAAUCACCAGCAAUAGAUAUUCACCCUCAAUGAAAUCAGCAUGAUGACUUUAUUUCUUUAUUUCUACAAGUCCUAAUUUUGGUGGUCUAAUAUGUUCUCUCUAGACUCAUCCAGAAAAACCCCACUCCUAAAGCUUAGUUCUUCAUUUAGUUCACUCUAAGAAACAAAACCCAGUCAGAAUAAAUACUUUCAAAAUAAAGGACAAAUUUCAGAUUUUUUGCAUCUGUCAUGGUCAUGAUAAUAAUAAUUGAACUAUUGAUCAUAUCUUAAGUCAUUAUCAUUAUGCAAGAAUACAGAAAGAAAGUGUGUGUGCAGGGUCUUCAAAACUUUUUCACAUCUAAAUUGGCAGGAGAAAGAGGUGGACUAGAAAUUGUUGGGACAGUACCUUUAUGGACAUUUAGAGAAAAGAAUGAAAUACGAGAACAUUCAAUGGAGUACCAAGGAUUCUUGUACUUUGAUUGGAGAGGUCACCAACAAUUUCUCCCCUCAAAGAAGUCAAUCUUCUACUAGUGACUAAACUUCUGAAAAGCUCUUUACACAAGCUAUUUUGUCAUCCUGAUGAAGCUAGGGGCGAUAUCAAAUGAUGUAUAAGACUUUGCAUAUAUAUUAUUUUAUUUAUUUUUUCCUUUCUUUUUUUCUUCUAUGUUUGCUCACUAACUAAAUGAGAUAAGUCAGCAACAUUUUUUACUUUACCCAAGAAAAUCCCUAUAAGCAACUUUUGACAUGACCAUAGAUAAAUAAUCACAAAUCCAAAGUAAAAAUAGUUUGUAGGGCUCUUACUAAGCCAUAUAGCUACAAAAUCCAAUAUCUGCAUAAAGUUCAUAUUGAGUUCCAAAUGAUUGAUAGAGAUGAAGUAAUGGUAGUUCUUGUACUCAGCCAACUGUUAUUUUAAAGUUUUUACAAAUUUCAAAUUACAACCAAUCAAUACAAAAUUGCAAAAAAAAGAAAGCAUUAAAAUCAUAACUUAUAGAUGUAUGAAGAAAAUAAGAAUAAGAAAAAAAGGCUCUUGACAAAAAGAUUUGGCCAAAGAUACUUCUAGCAGCAGGUCACAGCAGGAAUCAAGACACAUCAUAAGGAAAAAUCUUCAGAAAUAGAUAAUAAUAAGUAAAAAAUUGAAAAGUGGAUUACAAAAGAUCAUGUUAAAAAUUAUAUCAAUGUAGUUUUCCAGUGACAAUCAGGAAAUAGAUGUCUCCAUGUAUAUUCAUAUGUACCUAAAUCAACAUAUGCUGAAUGAUGCUGAUCUUGACAAAUUUCAUAAUAAAUACCAAGGUCCAUGUCCCUAAUUCUCACUUGCAUAUUCUCCAUACUGUGGUUUCAAAAGGGAUAUUAUGGUGCUUGUUCAAGUUUCAUUUCACAAAAUGAUGAUGAUGAUGUUAGGUUGAGCAGAUAUCCUAACAAAGGAAAAAAGUGAAACUGUGUAUGAUUCAAGUAUCACGAUGACAUUGAAUAGGUUCACAAUACUAUACUCUAAUAAAUCAUCUUGAAGUGAUUGCAGUCAAACAAAAUUUUGGUUAAAUAUCAGUGACUGUUCUUGGAGAAGUAUGCAUCUCUAGCGUAAUCUCUCCACAAUGAUGUGAAGGUCAGUGCAGGGCAGGCAACAACUUUCAAUAAACCAUGUGUAAAAUUCAAUUAGUGUGCCCCGCUCUGCAUUGAGAACUAGAACACAUUCAUAUAUAUCUAAAUAUAUCUCACAAAACAACAUAUACAAGUUUAUGCUAGUCCUUGUUACAUUAAAUAGAAAAGCUGAACAAUAGAUUUUCCAAGUUCUAACAUAAACUCACUUGUCCAUGGCCUCGUAUUUUCAAAAACCCACGUAGCAGUUCUCGCUUGUAAUGGCAAUCCCCACUCAGAUGAUUAGCCCGAAUCUAGAAGAACAAGUCAGAGUAUUCAUUCACUUUCAAGAAAAAACAAUCUUGUGAAUGCUACUGAAAACUUUGAUGCAUAAGCUCUGGAUCAAAGACUAUAAGAAACAGUUCUCUGACAUUCCAAUGCCCAGCAACAGACUGAAAGGUCAACACUACAUAAAUGUCUACCAGCAAGUAUUAAAGCCUCCUAGUAAUACUGUACCUCAGAGCAAGCAUGAUGGGCACAAUUUGUCCACUCCAUGUUUUUUGCUCGGCAAUCGUCAUAAGCGUGGAUUAACUCAUGAAUAAUAACUUGAUUUAUCUCAUCUUGAAAAGUCAUAUGAUUACAACAAAUUGUUAUCUGAAAUACAAAAAUUAGUAAAGUUGAAUUAGACUCAGAUGGUCUAUCUUAUACAUCAACAAAUACAAAGGCUAAUUAAAUCAAACAACUCGCUAAGACUUCUUAUAUUAUCUGAACACAAAGUUGCAGAACAAAUUUAUCAGCAAUAAUUGCAACUGUAUUCUCUUUUGUGCUAUUCAUUUGAGAGAUUACAGGGUGCAGUGGAACAAUGUAAACUGCAAUGUGCAUGAGUAUCCAAUUCUAAAAAGUCACCAAAUUCAACCAAGACAAUUCUUGACCCACAGAUAGAACAAGCCACAAUGUACCUUUGUCUAUGGUAUAUUUCUGAAAUUUGCAGAAGACAUGAAGAAAAAGCUCUACAAAUCAAAUCCCAAAAAUCAAUUGGCAAUUCUGAACUCUCCACAGGGAAACAUACUAGAUUUGGCAAAUGAUGUAAGACCCACAAAGAGGCAAACCAGGACCAAAGAAAUACAAGAAACUCUCCAAGUAUAAAAAUGGAGCAGGCAGAUAAAAGUUUGCUAGGUUAGGCAAACCAUUUAGAUGAAAGUCAUUACACAGAUCUAAGAAGUCCUACCCUGCUCCUUCCAACAUUGAAGCAAGAGUUAUGCAUAACAAUUUAAUAUAAUUAUUACACAUUUUGGUUUUUAGUUUGUAAAUAAAAAGUAAAUGAGUUUUCUUUAUAGAAUUUUGUGAUGCAGUUGUCAUCUCAAAUUCUGGAUGUUCAACUGUAGGUAGCUCUGGGACCAGAUAAAUUCUAACUAUUAUAAACAACCUAAGAACAUUUUGUUCCAUGUUCCACAUGCUUGCAGUUAAUCUGGCCUUCACUACGAUUUUGCAUUAAGCUGGAUGGUUGGUAACGCAUUGGCAGCAGUCUUGGAAGUUGACCAUUAACAAUUUAAUUGAUGGUUUUGGCGAGAGGCUACUACUAUAUUUUUAUCCAUACUUCCAUAUAAUAAAAAAACCUGUAACAAAUGUCACGUAAGCUAUAAUAUUACACUAGCAAGUGCCAAAAGAUCACUUAGAUAAAAGUUCUAAAUUUUUUUCAAGGAGAUUAAAAAUUUUGUAUUGGCAUCUUUUCUCCCCAAAUACUUUCCCUCAUAGAUAUUAUGACAUGCUUCCUUCAGUUUAGUGAUUGUUCUUCCCCUGUUGGUCUUCCGAUCAUUGGUCUUUUAUGUCGUGUUCUAGAAAUUCUAUACACCUGAUGGCCUAAUCAUGUUCUACAGGUUUGUUAAUUCCUGGAUGAUAUUUCACAUCUACCUGAAAUACAGUUCCAUUCAAAUUACUACUUGAUCGCUCUAGGAGUCAGCCCAUGUGGAAUUGUGCAUAUCCUUCAUUUGCUACUAAGACAUAAAACCUCAAAGGUGCAUGAGAAGAGAAUAUGUUACUCUAAUUAAAUUUGGAGCAUUAUUCCCUUCUCAAACUUCAAUGCUUUAGGAUUCUAAUCAUGUAAAGAACAACAGGUGGUGGUUCCCAACUUAUUCAGCACAAUGUACCCCUUGGGCUGAUAUCACUAUCAACUACUAAUAGUUGCUGAUCACUGAAAGCCUUUGUGCUGACUUUCCCUUGUGAAACGCUAAUAGAAGAAAGGUCAAUGGUGAUACAACUAAAAAUUAAAAAAGCUGCACCUCAAGUUGUUAGUCCCUCAUGAUUUGGUUGGUUCUUAAGUAUUAUGUUCUUUCAUUCCAAGAUUUAUGUUCUAAAAAAAAAGUAACAAGACUCGAACUACACACACUAAUAACUUAAACCAAAAAGAGGACUGAGCAGAUCUUGUGUGAAAAAGGAGAGAUAAAAUUCGAAGCUUUCAUCUACUACUACAAUGGACCAUCGACAAAAUGUUCUCCUUGGGCACAUUUAAACUGUGAUGAAAAUUUUCUAACCAUGACUGGGAAUGAUUAAAGAGCCAAUCGACCAAAAAGACUAAAUCUUGAUGUUGAACCUGACUAUAUUAUUCAAGACUAGCAUCUAAAGCUUAAAAACACGAAUUGAGCAUGCGAUGUACUGAAGUCCAAUUCAUAUUUAAAAGCAAAGCAAUAGCACGUAAUCAAAUGUCAAUAAUUCCACUUGUUGAGAAGCGACACUGUCCAACAACAAAGCAGAAUCACUUUCUAUCAAGAAGCAAUACCACAUGUUGUCCAAGAGUACGAGAAAGAAGACAACAGAGAAGGGUCAAGUUCUAUAUCAAAUUAAAGAUACCCCACGGCCACUGGCGUAGCCACCGGCGGAACUCUGGCCUUUGCAGGUGAUCGCCGUGAGCAGGCGCGGCCACACGGGGCAACCGGCGUUCUCCAUCUUCUCCCUUAGGAACUUCACCGUGGGAUCUGAUACAACAUCCACAGACAUUACCAAAAGGUUGAAGUGUAAUCACGGAUUGGAAUUCUCCGUAGCGGAGUGUAAGAAACGAACGUGCGAGGCUCUUGUUGAUGCCAUCGACGCACUCCUUGUGGGACAUGCCGCCACCACCGCCGGCUGCAGCAGCCGCGCCCUCCGCGGCCCCGUCCAUCGGCAACGCCUCACCCCCGAUAUCUUCGCUCCUUCUUGGCGGCGACGAAGAAAUCGUUCGACCAGAGCUCUCGGCCUUUCUCAAGCUGCUUCCAUCUUGGCCGUCCGUUUCAUCGUCGCGAGUCCCAUCGUAAAGCGGGUGCGGGUCGGCCACUUCCGCCCGAUGACGUUUACGACUCGUUUACCCGUUUAGCCGCAUGAAAAAGAUCAAAAAAGGGAAAUCUAAAAUAAAAAGAAGAAAAUUGAAAGCCAAAUCAUGGCUUCUCGUGUCCGAAAUUACUAUUGAGCACAAACGUCACGAAGCAUAACGAAUCAUAACGACGGUCGAGAUAAAAGAAUCGAGCCGCACGGAAGGUCCAGAUUAAUUAAUCUUCUAACUUCUUUAUGUUGAGGCACCAUUUGGGACGCGAGAACCCGCAACGAUCUCCUCAAUGGUGUCGGAGUCGGUCAUUCCGCCGUUGACGACGCGAGUCUUUAACCCAACCCUAAUAACUUCCACUUACCCGUUUGUCGAAGUAUAAAGCCGUCACGUCGCAGUCCACCACCUGCACGAGGGAAGGGGCCCAACAUCUCCGCCGGGAAGGCCGUCGCCGGGAUCCUCCGCACAUCGCUUGGCCCCAUGGGCAUGGACAAGAUGCUCCAGAUCCCCGACGGCGACGUCGUCAUCAGUCAGUAUGCGCCCCCAUCUUUCUAUCCAUUGCCUCUGCUUAAAUAUUGUUUUUGCCUGCUGAUCUUGGCGACGAUUAGUGAAAAAAAACCCUAUUUUUCUUCACCUUGUCUUUAUUUUUUGGUUUGAGGAUUGGUUUGAUGACAAUGGAUGUGAAAAAUUAAAUACUGGUACAAUUGGUACAACAGAAUACUAGUACACAUUGGGAUUGCUAUAGCAUGGUUAGUAUAGUGUUUGAAACCAUGCAAAAUAUUUUAGGUAUUAAAUGCUUCAGGCCUAACUUGAUAAUCUUUUAGGUAUCAGUUAUGAAAGUUUAUUUUGUAACUUUCAUUUUCAUAGCAUCUGCAUUGCAAACACUAGAUAGCCAUGCAGCCAUAAGUUUAGAUGUUUUGAGUGUUAAUGCUCUAAAUUUAAGCAUAACAAUGUUAUUUUUAUGAACUGUGAUGAUUUAUAUCUUGGUCAUAUCUAGCAAUAUUAAGAAGUAAGAACAUCCUCCUACCCAAAGUAGGUGUUUAGAUGAUUCAGCAUGCUGCGACAAUGAUAGGUAGUGUUGGAUUACCACCCAUUAUAGGGGAAAUUUACUGUCAACUUCUCAGCCAUCAACCUUGUCAAUGCACAUCUGGCAUAUUUCCCAUUAGCAAUAUUAUUUUAGGCACACAUGAUGAUUAACUGUUCAUGUCUAAUCUCUUACAUUUCUCAUGGCUUACUCCUUGUUGAAACGGACUUUCUCUGUGAGCAUUUGCAGAUGGUAUAGUCAGUUGGCCUUUACAAUUGGCAGAUAAUUGUAUCCUUUAAGUUUACUCAGAAUAUUUCAUGUUUAAUGUAAGAUUGAACAAUGAAUAUUUGUUGUCUGAACUUUCUUUCCCAUGGUUGGUGCAGGAAAAUAAUCCAUGUUGCUGCAUAGAUUGCAAUGAUGUUGGGACAAAUAACAUGAAAGAGCAGAAUGUGUUUGAAACACUGAUUGGCAAACAACGACAGAUCUUGCUUGCAACACAAGUUGUGAAAAUGAUUUUGAAGAUUGAUGAUGUGAUCACUCCGUCUGACUAUCGAUUUUGGUGGCUGAGGUUGUGAGCUAGGACAUAAACUAUCAGAAUUCGCCAUUGCUAAGUGGAAGAAGAAUCAGCCAGGCAUGCGAGACAUCUCCUUGUAUCUCCUUUGUGCCUUUUUAUUGAUUUGCGAGUGUAUGAUUAUUGAUCUUGCAAUAAUUUUGUCACCGGUUUCUCUGCAGGCAUCAUUUGCAUUUUAUGGAUGCAUGUGUUUUUGGGCAAAUUGGUCAUCUGAAGUUCGGAUCACACAGAAGUUGACUAAUCGUUGCAAUUGAAAACCACUGGCAGACGGCACUCAACUUGGGUAACUAGAUUUUCUUUGCAAUGCCCGACAUUAUUGUCUUCCUUGAUUGGAAAAUUUUGAUAAGUAGAACUGUUAAUAUAUUAGACAGAGUGCAUAACUUGAGUUUAGGUAUUUUGAACUAGUAGAUCACUUAUGUCGUUAAGUUAUUAUUUCUUUAUUGUUUAGCUCUUCCUUGUCAAAAUUCAUGUGUAUUAAAUCAUGAUAGUGGCGGUAAUGUGGAUUAUGGUGAUUAUUUAUUUUAUAAGACUAGUUGGUAAUAUUGUUUUCGGCCAUGAAUGGGGUCUUUUGGACUAUGAAACCCGAGCAAAAGAACAAAGGAAAAGAUGCCUCUAUAUUGUCAUCUAGAUUAAAGAUGUUCCAUGCUUAAUUUUUUCGCGAUAAAAUUGUCGAGUCUUUGGUGUAGUGGUAAGAUUCCUUGGGAACAAAGUAUGAACAAUCCUUAGGAGUAGAAAAUUAAAGACUCAAAAGAAGAAUAUAUAGCAGCUUUUCUUUGGAAGAUGAUUAAGAAAAGAAAAAUCCCAUAAUGGAGUAUAAUGGCAUAUGGUUGAGGAUUCGUAUCAAACAGGAUCACACGAUACUUUGGGUUUUGAAUAUUGAAGACUUGGAAGAGCCUACACUCCACUGUUCUCUCCCCCGAGGAAAGUCCCUAAAACAAGUUGCCUGCACAGCCAGCAUCUUCUAAUCUUCUUUACCUCUCACAAGUCUGGAGGAUGCGUAAUGACAUGGAACAGCCAAUCGUAGCCUUCCCACCAAAAGCGUGGCUGGCACGGCAGUAUAUAAGAAAGACGGCACCACCGCUGCCUCCCAUUCUUCAUCAUGCAGGCACUGUCGGUAGGCAAUCACUUUGUCCACGUCUGAAAGCAACAUGUAACUAAGAUUGUGGAAGAAACAUGCACUGCUUGGAUAAUUCAUCUAUUAAUUUUGUUGGAUCUUAAGUGUUUUAAGUCUGAAUUAAUAAUUAGUAGAAUAAUCGAGUUCUUAUACACUAACUUAAGUUUUCUUUGACUUCUUAUAUGAGGAUUAAAUUUAGACUAUCGGUAGAUAGAACUAGGGAACACGUUAUAAUAUUGAAGCAUCGCACAUAUAUACACCAUGUUAGUACUCAAAUUUAUAAUACACUUGAUUAAUCCUACGUUGAAAAUAGAAGAGAAUUGAAUAAACUUAGAUGACCAUCAUUAAUUUUGACCUUGACAUUUUAUUCCCUCCAGAUGGAUCUUUGUUAUAAUAUGGAAGCGUCGCACACAUAUACCAUGUUAGUACUCAAAAUUCAUAAUACACUUCGAUUAAUCUUACAUCGAAAAUAGAAGAAGAAUUGAAUAGACUUAGGUGACUAUCAUUAAUUUCGACCUAGACAUUUUAUCCCCUCAAGAUGGAUCGUCGCUAUAAUAUGGAAGCAUUGCCCACAUAUACCANNNNNNNNNNNNNNNNNNNNAAAUUUAUAAUAUAUUUGAUUAAUCCUACAUCGAAAAUAGAAGAAGAAUUGAAUAGAAUUAGAUGACUAUCAUUAUUUUCGACCUAGACAUUUUAUCCCCUUAAGAUGGAUCAUCGCUAUAAUAUGGAAGCAUUGCCCACAUAUACCAUGUUAGUACUCAAAUUUAUAAUACACUUGAUUAAUUCUACAUCAAAAAUAGAAGAAGAAUUGAAUAGAAUUAGAUGACUCAUUAAUUUCGACCUAGACAUUUUAUCCCCUCGAUAUGGAUCGUCGCGAGGUUAGUUGGUAGUUGGUGUCAUAUGGCCAGCGGGAUGGUGAUAGAAUUGGUUGGGUGUGAGAUGCCAUUGAUGCCAAAAGCUCUAUUUAUGGACCUGUUGCAAACAAUAAUAUAAGAAGACUGCAUAGGACCACAGGGAAUUGGAGUCGCUUUCUCCAGUAAGUGGCUGCUUUAAAGAACUGUAAGCGUGUCAAAACGAGGCUCAACAUAUCGCAAGCAAUCAUUGAUUUAUUGCUUGUAAUGCGUAAUAAGUGAGAGUACCUUAUGCAAGUCAACCAUAUGUAGCUUGACCAGAAAGAUCUGAGGAUGGAUUGCCACCAAACUAUGGCAACUUUGGCAAGAGAAGGACUAUUUGAAUCUAUGAACCAUUGAAUUAGAAAAAAGAAGGCAAACAAUUUGGUACACUGCAAAUUAAAUUACCUAAGUACAUUUGUCAGCUUUAUACAUUUGAAGGAUCCAAAGUGCUUCACCUGUUGAGACUUCCUUGAACUGCAAGGAUGCAUCAUCUAACGAGGUUCACUGUUAUAUACACUUCAACAUGAACUAUGAACAGAUCAAGCUAUAGUCAUAUGAACAAGAGGAGAUUUUGAUUAGUGCUGGAAGCAAUUGAAUGGAACUGCAAAGAAUCAGCAGGGCGUCAGGACACGAAGCGACUGAACUAACUAAGAUUGAUGUUGACUUGCUCUGGCAUCGCUCUUUCGGUCUGCUGUGCAGGAAGUUCAGUGCCGAGCUGCCCCUUAUCACCCGCUCCGAAUGCAUACAGUUUCCCGGAAUCUGUUAGAGCAAAGGUAUGCGCGUUCCAGUAGACCGAGUUGGUGAGACUAAUCUGCACUACCCUCUCAUUGAUGUUCUUAAGUGAAGUCACUAAUUUUGGGCUGAGUACAUUGGCAUGCCUGUUACCCUGCAAACAAGACAAAGCUUGGAAUUAGCUGACAUUAUCGAAAUUGCUCGGGCAACGCUAAGACUGGAGGGGAUGCAAUCUAUUGCCAAGUUUGCAAACAGUUUAACAUCUGAAGACCCUAACAAGGUUCACUUAGAACAAGAAAAGGAUUAAAAAAAGAGGCAAAGAAGUAGCGCUGCCCUCAAAAACCUCAGGGACUAGUGGAAUGCAAUGGUGUUAGAUUUUAGUUUCAUAUACCGCGCAAUAAGAGAUCAACUAGGAAAACAUGACAAACCUGUCCAUCAAUGACGGAGGAAUGACCCAAACUUGAGGAUUCUCCAUAACCAAAUGAGUAAACAUCCCCAGUAUCAGAAACAACGAAUGUAGUGUAGUCGCCCGUUGCGACAUGUACAGCCUUUAUGUUGUCCAAGGAUUCCACGACCUUGGGAACAGAUUCAGACUCCUCAUUCCCAUGGCCCAAGCACCCAUAGCGCCCCCAUCCCCAUGUACAUGUCCGCCCAUCUUGUCCCACGACGGCAGCAUGCCAGGCACCAGCUGCAACCACCCUAGGCUGCAGGUUUAAAGUCUGGAAGUGCUCGAUCAACCUUGGAUACUUCUCAUCAGUCAUGGAACCAUGCCCAAGUUUCCCUCCUAAGCCACAGCCCACAGAGUAGACCGACCUGCAUUACAAUGAAAUUAUAAACAUUAGGAUAUAAUUAAACAUUCGAAUUCACUGUAAGUAUGCUGUUGAAUCCCCUAGCAAAACCAGUGGAGUAUAACAGCAAUGAAAAAGCUAAUGCAAUCCCUACAAAUAACAAGUAAUGCAAUUGUGGAAACUAUGUGUUCUUGAAGAACAUUUCAAAAGAUGUCAUCAUAGCAGAAUUCUCUUGAUGUUGUCUGAGCACCACAUAAAGUUUGCAUAUACAUAUGUGUGUGUGUGUGUAUGUGUUGCAAACUACUCAGGCAAUCUCAUAUCCAGCAAGAAAGAAAUAAGGACUAUAGCUGAUCUUUUAAAGUAUCAAGAGAUUAAGAGUGGAAGAAAGCUUACAUGCCGCUUGGUUGACAUGCCAGUGCUAGAAGGUAACAGUAGCCAGCGGCAAUCUGAACCACUGGUAUGUUCUCAAGAGGACCCAAUAGCGGAUGUGGUUCCAAGUCACUUGGUUCUGUGCGAUGACCGAGCUUUGAUUCAUUUCCCCAACAGAAAGUGUAGACUCUGCCUUCUCGAGAAAGAACUGCACUGAAGAAAUUUCCUAUUGCUGCCUGAACCACAUAUAUGUCUUUCAAUGAUUUCACCAGUCGCGGUGUAGUGACAACCUUGGACCCUUCAAUUGUGUGUUCUGCCUCACCAAAUGAUUCCUUCCCGAAAGCAUAAACCUGUCCAGCAUCACUGAUCAGCAUUGUUCGCCCUGCUCCGGCGGCUGCUUGUAUAAUCCGAAUGCCUUGCAGCGAUCUGUCAAGCACCAAACCUUUCUUGUUCAUGGUACGUGUUAAUGUGCACCUGAGUGUAUGAAGCAACUGAAAAUUUUAAAGCACCUUAUAAGUCGUGGCCUCCAUUCCUCCUCCAAGGUGCCAUGGCCGAGCUGUCCUGAGCUGUUGGAUCCAAAGGAAUAUACAGAUCCAGAUGAAGUCACGGCAAUGCUGUGACUAGGACCCGCAAUUGCCUGAGACUUUUCUCUCCGGCAACAUAUCUCACCUGCCAAUAUAUACCUAAGAACUAAUUUCCAAGAUCCCCCACAGCGUUGUUUAAGAAGUUCUUUUUCUUCUGAAUUCAUUGGCUUGAAGAUGGCCCUUUCCUGGCACAUGUCUAAUGCUGCGAGCUCUGUGAUAGAUAACUGGACCUCAGGAGCAAAAUUUGAAGGCUUUCUGAAAAAUGUACAUGUUGCCUGCCAUGAAUAUCGAAAUCUAUCAGCAACAUUACAGAUCCUUUCAACAAGAGAAACAUAACAAUGAUACUUGCCUCCAGAUUAGCAAGAUCCCGGGGUUCCAAAUCGCAAUUGGUUAGAAUAAUGAGAACGAUAGAGGGGGUUUCAGCCAAGGGGAAUUCCCCUGGGUUCGAGUCACCAAAGCAAUGCCUCUGCACACGUUUGAAGGUUCGCUGCAAUGGGGGCACCAAAGAAAGGGAUGGAUCUACAAUGGUCUGAAACGGUAGGGAAGAACUGCUACCACUAGUGGUGGGAUCCAUCGGGCAAGUGCCCAAGGAUCAAGCAGUAGAGUGAAUCCAAUCCAAGGCUAUAUCCUCGUUCAACUAACUCCAAAGCAGCAGUCUAUAAGAUUGACAAAACCCCGAUUGUCAGCAAAGCAACACUCAGAACUAAUGGCUGCAGUAUUUCUGAGAGAUCAUAUCAACUCCACAGUUCUCGAUCUUCAAACCUCUAUGCUUUGAACAUACAAAGGGUCCGGGAGCAUACUGUAAGUCAUGAAAUAAAACUGCAAAAGCUUCUGUAAAGUUCACAUAAAAUUUCAGAUAACAUACCCAUAAAUCCAUAAUAAGAAAAAGAAGGCACCAAACAAGUAAAACACAAUUGCAAAUUGCAAAUGGAGGCACAGACCAAGAAUGAACAUGGCCAUACUCGCUAAAACCAUUAGCGAGAGAAGUAAUGAGAAAUUCCAGACUAACAACUGGACUAAAGAAGCUGAAAUAACAAGCUUAAAGUAAAAGAGAGUAAAAAGCCAAGUAGAACAAGGAAAGGAAAUGAUGUGUAAGCAGUACCACCUCCCAAAGAAAGCAUAUUCCCAACGAUCAAAGAUCGUCUACAAAGAAAAGCAUUUCACCUCCAAAAGGAUACUUUUCUUAAAAACAUCCAUAGCUGUCCAUCGACUCAACAAUUAGUCAAGCACUAGGAACAAGAAUCUAAAACCAAAUCAACUCGAGAAAAAGAAAGCAGAAAAUACAAAGAAGUCGGGAAUAGAAUUCCCAAAGCACAUAAUUAUUAACACCACUUCAACUCCAAAAGAUCAUAUCUCGAAAGCAAGAUCCGUUCUCUUAGACAACUUACCCAUACGAACAACACAAUCGAACACCGAUGAACACAGAACACCACAUCCUUCGUUCAACCAAAAAAAGCAAUUGCAUCUUGGAGUCGGUUCGUCAUCAAAACCACGGAUCGAAAACAUCCUUCACAAAGAAAAGAGACCAAAUUCCACGGGAAGAGACAGAUGGAGAGGCCCAGGCAGAGAAACAGAGGCAGGAGAAAAGAUCGGAUUUUUACGGUCUAGAUCAAAUCAGAUGGAGCAAGGCAACGACGGGGAACGCGCAGCACACAUCAAAGGCAGCAGAACAUCCACUGAUUCCCCCUGAAGUCUAGGAUGCGGCCGACUGACCCACAGUAGGGCGAUUGCUUCGUGUGCUCCUCCCUGUUCCUCUCCCCGAUCGAAGAUCAGAGUCCGAUUCGGAAAAUGGAAGCGAUCGGAGCACUUGUGUUCUUUGAAUCGGGAUCAAAUAUAGAUUAAGACCGCAGGGAAUCGAGGGGAAGAAUGGGAUGAGAUGAGGAAGAAGUGGGAAGAAAGGGGGGAACGAGAGGACCGAGAUGGGAAUGAGGUGGAGGACAAUUGCUGAGUUUUAUACGCAUGCCGCGACAGCCACGUCAGCGUUCGUAAUGAAGCUAAUGGAUCCAACGUCGGUUGACGGUUUCGGAUGAGGGUUUGGUUAUUAGUGAUCGGAAUCGGGUCGAACUGAGAUGAUCGGAAAAAUAAAAAUAAAAAUUAGAUUUUUGAUCGAAUCGAUUUAAUUAUUGAAUGAGUUAUGUUAAGAAUAAAAUGAAUCGGUCGACUCGACCGAUUUUUUUUUAUAGCCACGUAAGAAUCGAUUGAGAUAAAUAAAACUAAUUUGAUUUUGUAAAUAUAUUAGUAUUACUUAGAUUCCAUUAAUUUAAUUGUUUUAAUUUAUUUAAAAAUAUUUAUAUCAAUUUUGAAAUUAGGAUUAAUAUAAGAAAGUAAUAUCUCCCAUGCAAUCAAUUCUCUCUCUCAUUCUCCCUCCAUUCCUCAUUCUCCCUCCAUUCCUCAUCUCAUAUAGCAUAUAUUUUUUUAAUAAACUAAUAUCAAUUAUUUAUUCAAAAGGAUAUUUAUGUUAAUUUUAAAAUUAUGUUUAACUUAAGAUAGAAAAUGACCUCUUUGGUGCAUUUCUUCCUCCUAUCGUCUUUCUCUUUCUAAUAUUAUGAUUUUAUCAUUUGUAAGAUAGAGAGUGAAUUUGAUGUUUAUAAGACCUUAUGCUCACGAGAAAUUAUCUAUUUUGAGUGGAUCCAAAUAUUUUUUUUUUUGGUCAAGGGUGACUUUGGUACUUAUAGAAAUUAUAUCUUGAGUGUACUUACGAUAAAUUAUCUAUUUUAGAUGAACCUUACAUGAUUUACCAAAAGGGUCUCUUAGGAUAGAAUAUGACUAUAAACCUUACAUGAUUUGCCAAAAAGAUCUCUUAGGAUAGAAUAUGACUCUGAUGCUCAUAAGACCUUGCUCCUGAAAAAUCAUCUAUUUUGGAUAAGUCCUAAAAAGAACUUAUAAGAGUUAAGGUGAACUUAUAAGGGGUAAGGGUGACUUUAUUGUCUCAUGAAAACUAUUUACAUCGGGUGAGCCUCUCAUGGUUUUGCUGCUCCUCCUUUCGGGUGAGAUUUUGUGUUGUCUUCCCCAACACGAACACAUGAGGAAUUGUCUUCUUUCGAUAGAUCUUAUAUUGUUUUAUUUUGUUUAUAAUGUAUCCCAAAAAAGUGUAUUUUAAGGUUAGAUCAUGACUUUGACAUCUGUAAGAUCUAGAUUCAGUCGUAAACUGGGGUGAGGGAUGAAAAAGGUUUUGAACUCAUGCCAACAGAGAGUACUCGGGCCUUUGCUCAGUGAGGAACUCCUUGCCAUACGGACAAUGCAAGGUCUAAUAACGGGAUGAACUACUUCAUGUCAAGAUCGAACUCCUUGCUUUGACUACAGAGGCCAGUGACAAGUAGAGAACUUCUAAUAGUCGAACAUCAUCACACAGUAACAAAAUUUCUUAUCUUAUCACAGGUAAUGAGAUGCCAUUCAACAACGAUAAGUUCAAAGAGUUCUACGCUAACUAUCAGACUGAAGUAACAAAUCCUCAAGCUGUCCAAUUCUUCAAAUCCGAUCUUCGAAUCAGAAUAAGAAAAAGCACAUCAUCCUCUUGUGGUUCUUGUUUGCCCAAAGAGACCACCACUGAAAGAACUGCAGAACAACUGGUCGAGGAUCUUUGAUUACCAAAACAAGCAGCCUCAUGAGUAAAUACCAGCAGUUGCAGUAGCAAAAUCAUUCAAGAAAAUCCAAGGAGCUCUACAAGUAUCUAACAAUAAGAACUCUGGAAGUCAGAGGGCAGCCUAAAUCAUAUCAAACACGAGACUAGCUAGAGAUGCAAUGUCUGAAGCUGAUCUAAUGGCAAGAAUGCUACUGCAGGAUUAGCCAACGAACCUCAAGGCAAGAAUCAACUUGACCCAUUAAGUGGUGGUUUGUAUGAAAGUCUCACGGUAGAAUAAAUUACAGAUGGUUCAGCCAUUGCACCGUUUCCAUAAUCUCCGCAUGCCAACCUCUUGGUGACGGGAGGGAUGAGAUUAACACCAAGCUCGUUGAUUGCAUCUAGAUGGCGCUUUGUAAAGGGAUUAUUCCACAUGAAGGUGUUCAUAGCAGGAGCAACAAAUAUAGGCUUGCUGUAGUCCCAGGCUCGCACAAUACACGUCAGUAGGUUGUCACACAAUCCUCCUGCAAUCUAUACAACGAAGAGCAAAAACUUUAAGAAAAAGGUGAAAAAAAUAUAUAUUUGGCACACAAACUAUGUAGUCAAGUAAUCUUUGUACCUUCGCAAGAGUAUUUGCUGACAGUGGGGCAAUAACCAUGAUAUCAGCCCAUUUCCGAAGCUCAAUGUGCAAUACUCCAUCCCCAAUCUUCUUCCAACUAGACCAUUCAUCAUCGUCUGUAUAAAGGAUCACAUCCCUGGGGAAUGAUGCUUUAUCGAGAAAAUGCAAGGAUGAUUUGGUAGCAACUGCCCUAACUUCUGCCCACUCCAGAAAACUACGGCAUAAAAUCUCAAAUUUAAUAGCAGCAACACUUCCAGACACAGCCAAGAGGAUCCUUGGUUUAACAGGCUGAAUAUUGUCAUGCUUCAUAUUUUCUGAUGCUAUUUCGAUAUUAGCCAUCAUGCAUUCAACGCACUAGGAAAAAUUUCCUUCCACUGCAUAAAAAAUGAUGGUCAUCUUUUACAGAUUUCCACCAGGCAUUAUCAAAGGGCAAGGAAAUCCUAAGCAAGCAUCAUCUUUAAAAGAAAUCCAUAUAUAAAGUGAACCUUUUGUACUAGUACAGCUUCCCAAGAACAUGGUCAAAACAACUCCAACCAUGAGAAGACCAUCGCAUCCAAGCAGAAUGAUUCAAUAAACUGGAAGCUGGAAACAUUAACAUAACGUUAGUCCUUUGUACAGAAAAGCGAUUAUCAAAGAAGACAUAAAUUGCACGAAACUGACCGACCAACUAUAGCUAUGAGAAAUUAUUGAUGUUCGGGUAGGCUGAUACAAAUGCUUAUCUUUAAAAUGUGCUUUAGUUUGCUUGAAACAAUCGGUUUCAAUCUCUUAUCCAUGAGUGUGGAGAAACAGCUUAAGAUGAAGCUAUAAAUUAUAUAUUUACAUACUUAUAUGAAUGAGCAUGAAAGUCCAAUAACAACACCAACAACAAGGCUGUAAUGUCUCAACAUUUAGGGUUCUACCUAGAUCCUUUUGCCACCAUUGAGCUAUAUAAAAAAGCCAUAUCCUUAAUUAAAAUUUAAAUUUUUACUUAAUAGUUUUUAGUAAAAUGUUGUUAGGCCUGCCUCUAUCUCUCUUCUUACCAAUCAUUUCACCUCUUCUAACAACAAUAUCUAUGAGUCUUCUUAGGGCAUCUUAAACAAAUUUUCCAUGGAUUACACGUUUUUUAUGACGAAUAAGCACAAACAUAAUAAUUUAAUCUUUAAUAUUUUUAUCCUCACAAAACUAAAGAACACAAAAUUUUCAGCAACCCUAGUUUCAGAACUUCCAUCAAUCUAGUUUUGGAUCGUCCAUCCCUCUCCCCGGUGUGGUUUCUUCAUAGGCCAAUUCGCGAUCAGUGAUCCGUUACUCAGUAUUUUCCGGUUGCCGCCCAAUGUCUAAGCCCCCUUUACCGUCGCGGGCGAUUUCCAGCAACCGGAUUGGGAGAUGAAGAAGCAAUGGGAGGAGAGGUGAAGAGACAGAGAGGGGACAAGUACGAAUUAAAUAUUACGACAGCGCGCCGAAGAUCAAAAGCUAACCUCUCGCCGGUGUGCUCGCCGAAUACCACCGCUGCUUCGACGCUCACCGCAGACGAUAAGAAGGGAUCGUGAGAGAGAGAGCUUAUAUAAUGGACAGACAUGAGGGUAAUUUAGUCAUUUUACAUGUAGACGGAAAUUAAACGGCGACGAAACAGCACCAUCUCGUCCCCAAAUUCCUCCGCUAUUCACCCUCAGCCUUUGGCCACCGCCGCCGCCCCCCUCGAUCGCUUCAUCCCCGGCGGUAACCCACUCGCCACCGUGCCGCCCCCCACGUCUCCGCGGUCCAGUCCUGCUUCCAUUCUUCUACUUCGCCAAAUUGAGUGAUGGGUUUAAUCAUAUGUUAUGAUUGCAAUCCAUAGCCAGCUCAAGUCAGAUUCAAUUCAAAGAUCGAUUCGGCUCGGUUCGAGUCUGACUCACCGACGGGUCGAGUCGUGGAAUAGGAAAAGCCUUAUGGGUAAUUACGGACCGAUCAAGCCCACAUAAGCAACUAUAUUACCCGACCCAACCUGAUCGAUAACAGCAGCAGAACACCAUGGCGUCGUUUGGGUUGGGAAAGAUGAGCGACUUCCUUCUGCCGACGCUGUCGCGGAAGCGCGACGUGGACUGCAUCAUCCGCGACACCCUCGACAAGGUCCUCGUCCUCCGCUUCGGCCGCGCCGCCGACCCUCUGUGCCUCCACUUCGACGAAAUCGUACGCUGCGCCCCUCUCCUCCCAUAUCUUGUACUUCGUCUUCUCGGUGCUUGGCGAAGCCUCUGAUCUCGUGUGGCCUUCUGGCGCGCAGCUCUCCAAGACGUCUCGUGAGGUCUCUAAGUUCGCGACGAUCGCGCUGGUGGACGUCGACUCCGAGGAGAUUCAGGUCUACGUCAAGUACUUCGAUAUCACCUUGGUACCCUCCACCGUCUUCUUCUUCAAUGCUCAUCAUAUGAAGAUGGACUCCGGGUAAUUCAAUUACAUCCCUAGAUGAACAUCUUGUUUCUGUCAUCAACUCUCUUUAUGUCUUGCCCGGUUCUGCGUUUCGUAGGAAAUUUUAACCUUCCGCUUAGGUAAUUUCUUUUUGCCCUAAAUAUUUGAUUUGAUAUGUAGGUUUCUGCAAGUACGAAGGCUGUAAUUUAUUAGGGCAUGCACAAGAUGUCACCCUUUCUACGAUAUCUUAUUUAUUUUGCCCUAAAUUUUAGUGGUAAAUUUUCCUUGACAUGAAUACUUGUCACAAGGAUGUUUAGAAUUAUUAGGUGUAGUCGAUAUGUCUUAUAAAUUAGUGGCCUGUAGAUAAAAGUCCGCUAAUUUGACAUUUGACAUGUUAUUACGAUGAUUGUAGAGAAUAGCAAAUGCAAUAGUAGCAUCAUCUCCUCUGUUUCACAUCGUAGCCUGAUUGGAUAUCCUAAAAUUUCAUCCGAAGCUGAACCUUAUUAAUUAUCUAGGUAUCUGAACUGAAACCAUAUACGGGUUACCUACAUUUAUACCGAACUCAUCCCAAACCCUAUCGAAGGAAACCCUAUCUAAGGGUACCAGAACCUUGUUUUGCUCGGUUGGGUAUAUUUGGAUGCUCAAAAGAACCCAACCUACUAAGCUGAACCUAGAAGUAACAUUAGGUUAGGCUACUUGCUAAUCCAACCAGUCUGUCUACCUAUGUACCUGAACCCGACUGGAGCACAUUCAUCCUCACCUGAACCUGUUUCCUAGCUGAUUAAAGGGUAAACAAGUUCAUUAUAAGCGGAUCAAGUAGACCAAGGUGCAAAAAAAAUAAUAAUAAUAAAUAAAUACCUCUGCCAUCCCAAAUUAUGGCUCCCCUCUCUUCUCCUUUCCCGCUUUUUUACUCUCCCCUCUUCUUUUUUGUCUUUUGAGGCUGUCAGAUUGGCUGGAAUUGGUCAAAACUGGCCAACUCUGGUAGUGAUUUGUAGAUUCUAGUCAAAAUCCACUGACUUAUUACUAUAAACUGGGAAGUCAACAAAAAUUGGAGUGGCCUUUGACGAUAAUGAUAUGGAUUCUAUUCCUUUUUAUAGUGAUUUAGUUCUAUUCUUUAAUGACUAUUUUCACCUUAAAUGUAACUUGAUUAGUGAAUUUUUCGGCCAUGUGUCUCUUGGUAAACUGUAUUUUUUAUUGUAUUCAGGACUGCUGAUCAUACUAAGUGGGUUGGAUCUUUUCAUAGCAAACAAGACUUAAUCGAUGUUGUUGAGGUGAGUGCCAUGCUCCUCACUUGGAAGGUCCUUUUUCUGAAUUAAAUAUAUUAUAUUCAGUUUCAUCUACUGAAUUCAUUAAGCUUAAGAUGAUGCUACAUGAUAGGUUAGUCUUAAUAUCAGUAGAACAAAAGCUAGAAGAUUUUUUUUUUUCAUUUCAUAAUUUGAGAAUACAGUUACGUAGUUUGAUUUUGGACGUCCGAGAUACUUAUUCUUUCUUGGAUUGUAUGGGAAAAAAAAAAUGGAACUGAAUGACUUCUGUAGCAAAGUUUGUAGAACUUAGAUAAUUUUUUGUGUCUGUAAGAAAUGAAGAUGUCCUUUUUGAUGAAUAAGUAGGAAUUAUCCCUUGUCACUGAGACUUUAUCAUCAGAUCUUCCUAAUCUAGUUAGCUGGCUUCCAAAUGCAAUUAUCUUCAUCCAUGAUUACCAGUAUAGUUGGUCUGUUAUAUUGGUUUUUCUCUUCUGGUAAUAUUUUUCGCAAGAGAUUAAACCUGUCAUCAAGGCUCAUAUGAUCAAGAAUGGGAUUGGGAUUAGCUAACUGCAUUAUGAUUGAGAUUCAUUACAUCUGAUCAGUUGGAGCAGGAUAAAUUGAGAGAAUAAUUUAAACAUGAAAAGUGUAGAAAUUAUAAAAAUAACAAAGUCUGGAAAACAAAAUAUAAAAAAAUGAUAGUUUUUCGAAAGAGUAAAACAAUAUGUUUUAUGUAAAGCCACAGUUGUCAGUUUCUAAUUUCUUUGACUUGGCCAUAUCUUCUUAAUUUAAUAUGAAUAGCUGCACAUUGUAUUCCUGAACUUCUUAUGUAUGAAAAUGUGAAAAUAUCUGUCUAUGUACCAGCUUAUGCAAUCUGGGGGUGAUUCCAUGGGAUGGGCUGCAUAUCAUACAUAGAUGAUUGAACCUUAGAAGUUUACCUUAUGGAUAUGCAUAUGAUACCUUAGAAAUGAUGGGGGAUAAUAUAUCUGAACUGGAUGUCUUCAUUUUAGAAUAAGACUGCUAUCUGCUGAUGUCGCCACCCUCAUCUACCAACACAGUUGACUGUUACCUGAGUACGGAGGAUGACCUUUAGAAUUGCUCUAGGCAUAACCUUUUUUUACAUGAUAUAUAAUUCACCAUCUAACUCAUACAUUAACAUUCUGACUAUCUUUCAAAACACAACAACAGAAAGUUCUAAUAUUUUGAUCAACAUAAACCAACUACUAAGUGCUCAAGAAUUUAGUGGCGAUGUGUAUCUCAUCGUUCAACCAACAUUUCUGGACAGUGGAGGGACCAUCUGUUUUUGGGGUAUAUUCUGUAUAUUUAACUCCCAACUGAUUUGAUGAAAUCGUAUUUGAACUUGCUUUUGGUCUGGUUGAAAAUUUGCAGAACUUUGUAGAACUUUGUGUUUUUUUUUUCAAAGAAAGGCAAAUUAGAGAAACUUAGAAAACAAACUUAUAAAAUAUCCGGAGUUUCUCUAGUCCAAAAAAAUAGCAGAUACAUUCUGUCUAGCAUAAUUAGCAAGAUUGUGAGCCUUGUUAAGGUCUCUUGGGAUGUAACUCCAGUUGGAAACCUUCACUGUCUUAGCUAGAUGGAGGAUGUCUUUGCAUAGAAACCUUCACUGAUCUCACCCAGAUUUGAGUAAAUCCAAGUUGUAGUGCACAUUGAAGCCCCACUUAACUGCCAAUCAUUCUGCUUGGAAAGCAUCAGAAAGUCAUCUAUGGUUGCACCUCCUGCAACAAUAAUACCCUCAAGUCACUAAAAACAAAAUGUGUGUGUAGAACUUUGUUAUUUGAAUAGUUUCUGCCGAUUUCUAUAGCCAAAGUCUAGCUCUAGUUAAGAAUAUUAUUCAAUAUUCAGUAGCAUGCUGUAACAUCCGACUAAAAAGGACCCAAGCUUCCAUCUACCUUAAAUUUCUUCCCUUUUCAUGUUUCCUUUUUCUUUCUUUGUUCACUUUUACAAGUUCUCGAGGCUGUUUGCUUUACCUUUCGGCAUGCUGUUCUCAUCUGGUAAGUUUAUCCUCUUCAAAAGUUUCUUUUCCCUACCCGAAAAAGAAAUAUCUCUCUCCAAGUAGCCAUCCUACCCAGAAUGAAACUUGCAGUUAGAAAUUUUACUUGUUGAGUCAUCAAUAGUUCCUUCUUCUCACUAAUGUUUGUUAUCUAGCAGCAGUCUAUAAUGUAAUAUUAUUAUGAUGCCUCUUUAUAAUAAAUAGAUUCUCCCAAAAGAAGCCAUAUAACCUUUAUAUUUUGUUGCCUCUCGUAGGCUAUAUUUAGAGGGGCGAUGAAAGGCAAGCUGAUCGUUAGCUGUCCACUUCCACCAGAGAGGAUACCCAGAUUUCAGCUGCUCUUCAAGGACGUGUAGGGAUGAGCUGGAAGGUGGACGUGAUAGUGUGUCGAAGGGGAUGACAUAAUGACUCUUGGUAUUCAUCCUCUUAACGGUUCUUUUAGUAGCUUCUAAUCAAGUGUCAAAUGCACAUGAAUCAUUGUGUCAAAUGACAUGUUCAAGCAUUCUAAAAUCCCUUGGAUCGAUCAUUUUCCUGUAAGCUGUGUACAUAUAUUAUUUUGCUUCAUUGCAUACAAAUACGAGCAUUAUUUGCUUCAUUCAGUGUUAGAUACAAAUUUGGAAAAACAUUACUUGAAAUACAAAUUUGCUUUGUUAUGGAAAUAUAGUUAUUUGCUAUCUCCAUGCACCAAUUUUACUCUAUGGAUUCUUAAUCUAAUGAUUUAAGCUUGUUCGACUUAGUGGAGUCUGAUCUCCCCCCAUCUCAUCUUCUAACCUUCUCACUGUCCUUCAUUCCUUACAGAUGAAACCAGUAAACAAUUUUUUCUCCCACUCCUCAUCACAUGCAUGUAAUACGAUUAAAGCAAGCCAUCUAAGUUUUCUUCCUCUCUUCUUUUUUUUUUGGUCUGGGUAACAAGUAAUACGAUUAAAGCAAUGAUAAUAACCAAAUGCAGAUAGAAGCAUGCUACAGUAUCCAGGACUCAAUUAUCAAAAGAAAACGUGAUUUGUCAUCAAGAAGAACUUGCAAGUUGCAAGACACUGUCAAGUCCCUUGACUUCAACCAACACAAGCACAAUCUAAUUCAAACGCCAUGUGAGGAACUCGGAAGACAACCAAUUUUGUCUUUGGCUUACCCUUGGCCAAUGAGAACACUGCUUUUAAUCAAAAGCCUCUUGAAUAGAGCGUUGAAACAACAGUUUUCUUCCACCCAAGCCUCCAAAUUAGACUGCAUAAAGAGCGCAGUCCGAACAAACGCAUUUCUUGAGGCCAACUGUGGUGGAUGAUGCUGCAAGUAAUAAGCCCACUAGCUUUCAUUUCCAGUCUGGUCUUCACACGCACCUGCAUUAAAAGGCAUCAAUAGAAGCUUGGAAUACAACCAUUCUUCCCCAGAAGGGCGAGAAAUACUGGCCAACUACACCAGUAAAGGUUGUCCAUGAAAAGCAUCUUAAAUGAAGGCACUAGUCAUAAGAAAAAACCAGAUGUAUUAAGCAUUUUUAUGUGAAAACAACUGCUAAAAUUUACGAUACUAAAUAAUUAAAACACUAAAUAACAUUUGUGAGCAGCUUCCUCUGAAUCUACUUAUGAGAUGGAACAGAAUAGUAAGCGGUAGCUGUUAGUCAACGACAGACAUAUUAAGAAUUGAAAGUUCUCGCUAUGCAAAUCCAAAAAUAGUUUCUAAUAUUUUGCAUGAUAACCCAUUAAAAGUGACCACCGGGAAGCCGUGGGAAGCAACUUACUUGAUUGCUUCGUGACAAACACAAUCACUGCUAGAUCAUGAAUCCAUGAAUCUUCAUGAGAUGUCAAAGAACAGAAGCAAUAAACGCAUCAAACAUCAUGAGGAAGCAAAUGAAACCAUGAAACUCACAUUCCAUACAAUUAUGUUAAUUUCCUGAAAUGUAAUAGAUGAUGUGGAUGCACUAAAAUGAGAGAUAAGCAUCAAAAGUUGCAAGGAUAUUCUUGUUUGAAAAAUGAGAAUAAGAAGCCUGCAUUUUCUUGAAAAAAGUAAUCGGUGAUCCCUUAAAAUGCUAUAGUUCUCAUCACCUGGAGCAAUUAAAUCUCUUGAGAGAAUCUACAUGAACUCUUCUGAUAAUAACAAUGCUAUUAAGCUUCUGCUCCAAACAUCUAGUACGUAAGUUACGGAUAAUCUAAAGCUAUAUUUAGAUAAAACCUACACAAGUAGGUUGGAUAAUUACACUGUAUAUAGGAAAAUAUUAACAGAAUUAGCUUUGAAGAUUUUGUUUCAUGCAUGACUUAAUAAGCUCCCAACAACACAACUAUGAAGUUAUCCACCAACUAUGAAAUAUGCAAUCAAAUAGAUAGAAAAUUAGUUCAGAAAGGUUUUACUCUUAGGCAUCCAAUUUACAAUGUAUGAGAUUAAUAAGCUACACAAAACCUAAAGUCAUCCAUCAAAAAUUCUAUUUUCUUCCACAGAAUAAAUGGUUCAAAUCCUGAUAAAUGGUGGUUCAGCAUAAAUGAAAGCUAAUAUGAGUGGAGACCAUUUAAAAGGUAAACAUAUAUGGCAGUAAUACAAAAUUCAAUCUGAGAACGGUGUUGUUUUAUUUUUUUUCCAAGUACCAAGAUCAAACAGAACUACUACAUCUGAAAAUAAUCUUUUGGGUGAACAGAUUAAGCCUGUAUUCAAAUGGUUUAACUACUGCGAUCAGUAUGUCACAACACUACAAAACAGAUCAAGAAUGGGUUCAAUUGAAGAUGUAAAAGGACAACAAUUGGAAAGGCGAAAGCUUUAUACCCUAGAUCUUGAUGAUCUUGGCAGCUUUGACCACAGGAUUAGCCUUAGCAAUCUCCUCCCUCCCCAACGCCUUGUAAUCGAAUGAGCAAUCAUGAGUGUCGGAAUACCGGUGGCGACCGCAGAAGAGAUCCCCGCAUCGGCACCGGAAUCCGGUCAGCCCCACCUUUCUCCCGCAAGUGGAGCACCCGUUGAUGAAUUUUACCUGCGGUUUGGAUUCCUCCUCAGGCUUCGACUCCUUGUCGGUCUUGGGCGUGGUAGAUGCCGCGACGGCGGUCUCCGUAGCCGUAGUCUCCGCUCUCGGGUUCGGUGAUUGCUCGCAAGGUUUCAAGAACAGAGACGGGGGUAACGGGGACGAUGAUGGAGGAGCGGGAGUCGACGGGGAAGGGGAGGAAGGUUUGAGGAUUUCGGCUUCGUCUUUGUCAAGAUUACAACUUUCUCGAGCCAUUUGAUGCACUGGAACAGAUGCGAACACAAGCAGAUCGAGGAUAUUGGAGCCGAACAGGAUUAAGAACUAAGAAUAAGUUUCAAGGAUCGAUAAAAGAGGGAUAUCUGAAGUCUCCAAUCGACGUGAUGGGUGAAAAAAAGAGGUUUUCAGGACGGAUUCAUAAGAAAUCAAAUAAAAUUCGAUCUCAACCCUCAAAAAGGGACGAAUUUUCCAACAAAAAAAGCGCAAAAAAUCAGUAGUCAGGAGGGACUAAAUCUGCAGCGGAUCGAUCAGGAUGUAAGCUUCGUUGAACGCGAAAUCGAAUCGGAGACAGGAUGAGGCUGUCAGAGAUUUUUCCCCAUGCUUCCUAGGAAUCAAGUUCGAAGGGCAGCAACAACCGAGAAGAUGAUCAGAAAGAGGGGAACCCUGAUCGAUCCGAUCGAGGAAGUGGCGAAACAAUCGGUGGAAACAGGGGAAGAUGAAGGAAAAGUAAAGGUGGGAACUUCGGAGGCGGUGGAGGAAAAGGACGAAUAAAUGGGAAUACAUCCGUCGCAAUACAAAUGAUAAGGCGAUUAAAAUAAAGCAAAAUGGUCGAAAUAAUCUUCGUGUCCAAGCGAAAUUCCACGCUGUAAUAUUCUUUUCUUUUCCGCAACACAUUUCAGUCAACUUAAAUUAGAUUAAAAAUAUUUAUUAAUUAAUUUUUGAAAAAGACUUUCCCAAUAUCCCGAUUCAACUCAGAACGGAUCGAGUCUCAGCGACCGCCUGAUUCAACUCAGAUCGGGUCGAGUCUGAGUCGAGCUGAUUUGUCCUCUGGUCCGAUUGAACCACAUGGCUCAACCUUCAACCCAAACCACCACCCCAACCCAACCCCACGCGCACCCGUGCUCUAAACGCAGCCUCUCUUUCUCCCCAUCGACUGCGGCAGUGCGGCUUAGCCUCGGUGCACGGUGACUGAUUUCGUCUCCAUCGGCGAACGGCGGCAGCUUCUUCCCCUCCCGUUAUCUCUCCCUCUCCUUCUCGUCCUCCUCCUUCGCCGUCGCACACUCCCUUCUCCGCCCUCCUUCCUCUUCCCCUCCGUCGUCACAGCUCCGUCUCGACCGGAAUCCGGUCAGCCCAGCGCCUUUGACGACACUGGGCAGGAGGGGAAUCCUUCCAUUUCUCCGUGCCGUAACAUUCGUGCUUGAUGCUUAUCCCUUGAUCAACAGUAGAAGACUCGAGAAUCUGUCAUCGUCGGGCCUUCGAGGAUUAAAAGAAAAUCCCAUCGAUCGCAAAGACGAAGCGCGAGGACUGUUUUGGCCAUGGAAGAGGGAGCGAAGGGCGGUAGCGAAAGCUCAGGGCUCGAAACCCUAGUCCUUGAGAAGGUUGGGGAGGUCUCAUCCGCGAUCGAUGCCGCGAAGCACGUCGACGAAGUGAUCUGCGCCCUCUACUCCCUUGCUGUCCGCAUAUUUCCCGUCGACUACUCUGCCCUUUGCGGUUCGAUUUCGGAUCCUUCACGUCUCUUUCUCUUGGAAUGGGUCUUUUUGUCGUACUUUUUCUGUCGUAGUGUCACUUAUUUGUUGAAUGAUAGAUGGAUUUGCACUGAAAAGGAAAAAAAAACUUAGGAGCUUAUGAUUGGGGGAGGCAUCUGAAUUUUUUGACGUGUCUGAAAAUUUAUUUAUUUUCUUAAAACAAAACGGCUCAUUGCAAUAUUUGGUUACUUUGCAGAUACCAUCGAUCCUGCUCAGAGAAGCAAGGUACUACUCUGGUCCACAAUGCUACUUGGUUUGAUAUCUCACACAGAGGAGGUUCUUAACGUUUUGUGUUAUCUAUUUAUGCAACUACAAUAGUGUCCACAAGAAAAUUCUGAACUUGAUGUGAAAAAUAAAUAAUGUAAAGAUGGUUGUAAUUCUAAUUAAAGGUGAGAUAAUGCCUGGAAUCGAAAACAUAGAUGCAGAGAAGAAGAAUUCAUUGAUAAGAAAAAGGUGCUAGGGUGAACAUCCAGCUAAAGAUUGAAAACUAAAAGAGUGGCUCAGUGCCCAAGGCCUUGUGCACUGGUGUACACCUGUGGAUUUUCAAUUUAAGGGGUGUUUCUUCUCAGGGACUUUCGAGUUAAAUUUUAUUUUGAACAAGAACUUAUGCUAUAUACAAUCCCUGACAUUCAAUUCCAACAAUUAUCUAUAUUUAGUUUAGUAGCAGUUGUAUAAGGUCCCCUAAAAUCAUGUUUGUUUGCUAUGCACUUAUAUACUUACAAACAUGUAGUUGUCAUCAUUUAUGAAUAAAUUCUCUCUUCCUGGAACUUGCGAUGGCUGGAAUGAAUGAUCCAUUUUGCAUAUCUUGAAACCUGUUCAAAGAUCCUGUACACCCCGUUGUAGUAAACUAGCAUGUCCUCAACAUAGAGUUGAACUCAGAUUAUGAAUCUUCUUUUACUUGCAUUCAAUUUAGUAAAGUUGCUUACUUGCAUGAAUAUGUAGUUUGGGACACUCUUCAUGGCUUAAUUUUUGGGUGUAUUGCUUUAGAUAUCACUACAUCCUUUGAAUGUUAGAAGUGUUCUUUGCCUGAUUAUUGGUUGAAGCAUUAACCAUCCUUUGUUUUCUUACUUUUACACAAAUCUUUUGAUUACAGAUGAUUCUUUUUUUGUCUAUCAUCCAUAUUUAUUAUUUUGAAAGGAUUAUAUGAAUAAACAUACUAUGCAUGCUUUAAUCUCCAAUAUUAGACUGAGCUCACGAUUUUGAGAUUUGAUCCACUUCGAGUGUCCAUUUUUUUUGUUUUAUGUGUGGGGGUUCAGUGAUGGGUGUCACAUGGUGCUUACAGUCCACAAAUAACCCUUACCAUAAUAGUAACUUGUGGCUGACUAGAUCCAUGCCUUACCAUGUUAGCAUGAGGCAUUCUGGAAGAAGCUGCACUGUCCUUACUAAGCGUGGAGAACUGUAUCUAGUAUUUCAGCUGCUACAAAAUUUUGAAAAUCCUGAAGUUAAGUGUUAUGUUUUUGCUUCCAGUUGAGAGAAUCAGCCUAAUCUAGUUGACUUUGAUUGACAUCAAACCCUUCCUGCUAAUAAUAUGGUCAAGAAAUCGGUCAAAAUUGGAUCAACCUUGGAUGCUAUUGAUACAUAUCAGAUGUGUUGUAUCAAAAUUACCACAAACCGAGGUCUUCUUAUUUUGUUUACCACUGUUUUUCAGGUACAUGAGAUACUAUCUCCUGCCCCUGCUGAAAGCGGUGAAUGGAGGCAGGCUUUCUACUAUGGACCUGCGUUUCCAACCUUGGCUAGGAUAUUGAUCUAUAGUAAGUUUCAUUCUUUAGUUGAAACAUCUUUAUUGUGAUAAGAUAUGCUGGAUCUAAUAGAGUUUUCUCUAAGUUGACACAUAUUUCUAUAUGUAAAUAUAUGAAUUAUAUGUCAAUUUUUUCCUAUGAUACCAUAUGACUAAUGCUAUCUUCAAAUUUUCAAAUCCCAUGGUUGUCCGUAUAUACUGAUUUUUAUGGUUCUAACAUGUGUAUGUACUGAUUUAUCACUAAUCUUGUGUUCAACUUUUUCCUCUCUUUUUUUCAUUCCUUUAUCUACGAAGAAAGCAGGAAAAAAUAAACUUCUUCCGCCCCUUUUUUCCUUCAUUCUCUCCUCCUCAUUUGUUCUCAGGCUUGGCUGCACCCUUCCAGAUUGCCUCCCCUUCUCUCAUCAUUCUCAUUCCAUUCUCGGAUGGGGCUAGUUGGGUCUGGGAAUCAGCAACUUUGCUUCCUCAUCCCUUCCUCUUGCAUCCUUUUUCUCUCUUUUCAUUUUCCUUUCUAGUUUAUUAUCUGACAAUUGGAACUGUCUGAAUUGGUCAAGAUGUCCAAUUCUGUUAGAGAUCUGUUGAUGUUGAUCAAUUCUGGCUUUUGGCAUUGAAGUGGGCAAAACGAUCUAAAUCAGGUUGGCUGAUUUGGUGAGCCAUGCUUGUCUGCUAAACUGAAAAUUAAGGUGUAUAUGUGCAAACAUGAACCUUUAGAAUGAUGCAUCCAAAUACUUUUUUAAUAACUAGCAUUUGAUUUGUGAAUGUGAUAUAUUCUUUAGUAAUUAUAAUUCAUAUCUCCAUUCGGAAAAAUAGACUGCAACAAUUUUAUUGUAAGAACUUGUUCUUCAUUGAAAAGCCUGUGCGAGUGCAUGCUAUUAAAAAUGCAGAAUUAAUUUGAGCUGAUGGUAACAUUCUUUGUAAAGAAAGUAGCUUUAGAUGACUGGCACACGUUUUAGUAAAAGGUUUUCUAAGUGCUUGAUAAUUGUCAUAUCUAAUGUGCAGAUGUUGCAAAAGACUGGCUUGCAUGCUUUUCUUCAUCUACGAAGAAGCAGGUUUAUGAUUCAUUUUUCGUUCAAGGACCUCCAACUGAAAUAGUACAGGUCCUUGUUCCUGCUUUGGUGCACGGUUAUGAUGAUGCUAUCUACUCGAAUAUUGAGAGGUACUUACUGUACCAUCUGAUUGAUGCCACAAUUAAGUUGAUUUUGGUACUUUGGAGCAGUAUGAAAGUUAUUUUACAGCAGAGUUAAUUAAGAUUGUGCCUCAUUUAGCAACAAUGGUGACUGCAAUAAUAAAUCAUGUUAGUGCGUCACAACAAAUGUACUUCCUAGAUCAUAUUACUCGUCAAACCUCUUUUAACAUACCAUGAUUUUGGCCUUAUUUGACCAAAUCAUUUGAGGAAUCCUUAGCUAUUACUUAUAUUUGGUGGUAGUAUGAGAAUCCAGAUGUCAUGAAAAAUCAUUAGAAACUUUAGUUUUUAUUGGUACAUGAUAAGAUGUGUAUGUGAUCAACCAUAUAUAAUGCUCUUGUUUAUCUAGAUCUUGAUAUGCUGAUUAUACUGAUUUAAUACUGAGCAUAGUUAUCGGGAUCAGAUCGAACCAAGUGGUGGUGCUGGAAAAACCGGGAACCGGACCAUUAACCAAUCCAAUUCAAUUAUUGGAAUGGAUAUGUUCAAAAACGGGAAUGAACCGAUUAACCCGGUUGGAUUUUGGAUAACCAAUAUAAAACCGACUGACCGAGUACAUAAAACCGAUCCAAAUUACUUAAAUACCCUUAAACUUUUUUAUUAUUUAUUCGAGAGGGUAUUUGAAAUUAGGGUUAACCUUAUUUAAAUAUGACAGAUGAUACUCUCAAUCUUGAUGAGAUUUUAAUGAUAUCAAAAAGAAGAUAAGGGAGAUGAAAUUAGAGCACGCUAUAUAAGAAGAAUUUGAUUUGAGGACAAAUAAAAAUGAGGAGAACGAAAAAAAUAUUGGAACAGAUAAAAAUGAGUUCGAAAAUUUAGAUUAUAAUACAAAAAUUUACUACAUGGGUUAGAAUUAUCAUGGCAUAUUGAUGACUAAAAAGUUUCCAUCUAAUCAUGAAUUCAUGAUAAUUAUGUUGGAUAAACUAUUUCUUAUAUAUCAUUGAACAAUUGAUUUUAGAUUGGAUUAAUGUAAUCACGACCAAGAUUUUUUCAUGUGUUAUUUGAUCUGGAUAAUGUUUAUAACUUUAUAUACACAAUGUUGCUUGAUAUUAUCAUUCCACAUCUUCUAUCUAUUUUUUAAUUAGUUUUAAUAUUUUAGAUUUUUACUAUAUAUAAUUUUAAAUUGUUUAAUAUAUUUUAAAAUAUUUUUAAUUUAAACAUGUGGUUCGACCAAUUGAUCCACCGGUUCAACCAAUGACCCAGAGAACCAAGUCCUUGAGAUUCAUAGAUCAUUUGCUUCGAUAUUGGUUUAUGUUUUCACCUCAUUACUAAUCGUUCUUCUGUUGUAUUAUUCUAUUUUUCUAAAACAAGGACUAUGAUAAUAUAAUUUUAGUUAAAUACACCUUUUUGUAUUACUUAUACUUAUCACUUGCAUAAUUUCUUUAUGAGUAACAAACUAUCAAUAUUAUCAGAUAAGUUGAUAAUUUAAUCAUAGCAUAAUUUAGCUUCUUCUUCUUUUUUUAAAUCUAUCCAUUGUUUUCGCUGCAGAUGCACUAGGUGAUACUUAGACCACUUGCAUAUCAUGGUUGUUUUUGGAAGAUUUGAAUAUAACCAUUAACAGUCAACCACCGUUUGAUGAUCAGCACGUUCUAUCAUGGUUCAAAAAUUUGAUCAGUCAAUGUUUGUUAGUUGAUGUGUUUUGAUGAUCAACUUUUGCUAUUCAUCUAUUGUUUGACUUUCAAUUAUCAAAUUGUCAUUGGUGAUUGAUGAUUGCCAUUCAACAGGAUAGACUGUCCAAUGACUAUCACUUACUGAUUGGUCAUCUGCUGGCAAUCAACAAUCAUCUAUUGACAGCUUGUUGAUACUUGGUGAUCAUUAACUGAUGGUUGUUGGUAUGCUGAAGAUUAUUGACUGAAUAUAUAGUAUGUUUUUGGUCAUUUAUCAUCAUGGUCUAUUGGAUAAUUGAUGAUUAGUGAUCAUCAAUCUGACUGCUGGUUUGACUGUUAUUGGAAAUGUCUGUCAAUUUGUUAAAGAACAAAAGAUUACCGACUUGGUCUAUGCGAGCAACGGCUGUCAUAAUGAUUUCCUUCAUCACUUACACACUUUCGGAAUUUUAAGCUGUCACUUACGUGGCAAAUGUACAGGAUCAUAUAGCCAUGGCCAAUCCCUUGUCUCACCACUCCAUCUAUCCAUCUCUCAUUAUAAUUUGAUAUGAUUUCUAGUGACUAUAUCAAUAUUGGAUCUUUACUGACUGUAAAUGAUGUGUACUAACUUGUUAGUUAAAUAUAACCCAAUAUCCAGACUAACCUAACAGAUUUUGUUCUUGUGGUGUUCAUUAUAUUUCUUAUCAUUUCCUUUCUAUGUGUAAAGCAGGCAGCAUUUAUCUUUUCCUCUACUAUGUAUAUUACAGGUUACUGGUACGAUGCUUGCUUAAGAGCGAAGGGAUACGGCAUAUUGUCGGUGAAUUUAGAAUCCAAUGUAGCAGUAGCAAACAUGAUUAUGCACUUAAGCCAGAGAUGUUAGCAGUCAUGUCUAGGGUUGCACAGCUUCUCACUUCUGUUCCUGACAAAGCAAGAUUGCAAGCCUCAUCGGCACUUUCAUCGCAGUAUCCUUCUGAGAUAUUGUCUUGGUUCUAUAGAUGUAAUUUUAACGAUUCAAAGCUCAAUUUGGAUUCUGUUUGAUGAUUCUGGAGCUUCAUGUCAUGUAUCAUGAUUCCUUUUCAUGUUGAUACCAGGAGUGCGCUCAUUGUUGGUUCUUAAAAUUUUCACAUUAAGAUCAUAUGCUCAUUUAAUUUGCCCUUUUUUCUUUUUAUAAUGUUUUAUCAACAUCAUCUCCUCUCAGUAAAAUCAGUCAUAGAAAUCUCUUAUAUUUCCUAAUGUAGAUUACAUUUCAAGGAUACCUUUCAUUAUCAGCUAUUUUCUGUUUUUAUCCUUGAUUAGCUACUAGCUUGUUCUUCCAGCAAAUGGCUAGACAACUUCUGUGUGGAGCAGAAGAUUGUAACUUUGAAAUGUUGAACCCAAGAGAUGCCUCCGAUGCAAAUACUGUGGAUGGCUCAUUGUUAUUUAUCGGUGAAACAUUUUCAAGGAUUUGCAGGCGUGGCUCAACAGGUGAUAAAAAAAUAGUUUAAUGCUAAGUCUGGUCCUGCAAAUUAUUAUUGUUCCAGCAAAGCAACUUAUUGAAGUUAACUUACCUGACAGUAGAUAGGUUAAUUAUAGGCCAAGCAGAUGCUAAAAUUUUACUUUUAACAUUUAAUAUGAGCAAUUGAUAUAAAUUGAUCACAAAAACUUUACUUUUAACAGUUAGGUGUACCAUUGAUAGAAGAUAAAAUGAGGAAAAACCAUUAGAAGGAUAUAUGCAUGUUCAAUGGAGACCUAUAAAUUCCCUGGUGAGGUAAGAUGAAUUGAUCAAUAUUAGUGAUGAGGAAAAGUAGAGGACACAUAGGAAAAUUUUAUAUGAGCAGGAAAAGGAAACUUGACUGCUUUAUGUAACUAGGGAUAUUCACCUACCCAGAGCUUAAUGGGAAGAAAAAAUUCAUGCAAGCAAUCCCAAAUAAUUUGGAUCUGUGGCUUGUUGUUGUACCUUCUAGUAUACAAUUGUAAGAGAUCUUUAAUAAAAGAAUGAAAUGUAGUUAACCAUUAUGUUUUUCUUUGAAACUUUUUCAUUUUUACAUAUUGCUCCAUGAAUAUCAUUGGGCUGUUCCAUGUUGUGUUUCACAAUUAGAACAGUCUUCAUAUGUUACUGGGCUAUCAUCUUAAUUGUUGAUUUACAAGUUGGAUGGACCACUAAAUGUAAUGUAUGCCACGCAAUAUUGUCAGAUUUGGGAAUUUUAAGAUCUUGCUAGUGUCCUAUUUCUAUAUUGUUUUAGUCAUUAAGUUACUAUUUUUCAGAUAUUCUACUCAUAAAGGUGAUCCCUAGGAUUCUUGAUCACAUCCGAAGCUGCUUGUCAUCGAAUGCUGGUUCUGUUGCUUUUAAUAUGAUUGAAUCUAGUCCAAAAUCCCAUUUUUGGUUGUUCAUUAUGGAGGCAAUGAAAGAUCAAUAUGCCAUUGAAAGAUUUUCUGAGGAGCUACUACGGCAAUUAGCAACUCAGAAUGUAAGUGAUGUUGAAGCUUAUUGGACGCUUUGGUUGUUGUUUCAUCGGAUUGUCAAGCAAAAAACUAAUAUUAGGUGAGAUGGUGUCACCAUGUUAUCUAUGAUAGCAAGUUUGUUGCUAUUGUGUUGUUAAUAUUCUUCCUCCCAAUUGGUGCAUAUUCUGAAUGUGUUUUUGAUAUUAAAGAUUCAAAAUUCCCUAAAUCAAUAGCUACAGGAAAAGAACUUCAGCAAAAAAAAAAAAUGAUUUGAUAUCUACCGUCAAGCAAUAGUUUGUCAAACUCCUAUCUAUAAAUUAUAGGUUGCUCUUAAUGAGUAAGAUCAUGCAUGUGUAUAUGAAAUCUUGAAUCUAAAAUGCCUACUCUGGAUGAUAUAUCUUGCAUUAUUAGUUUUUGUUUUUCCCCACAGAAAUCAUUGCUUCUAUUCAAUGAUUAAUAUUGUCAUUGCUACGACUGGUUAAGUCAUUAUCUAACUAGUUGUGGUCUCAUGAUAAAACUCUGAUCUGAUACAGCAGAUACUGACUUUUCAUCUGGUUUCUUAAGUUUGACAUAUAAUCACAUAUAGCUUCAAUCUGGAGUUUAACUUUGACACACAUUUAUGAUGUUUGAUGCAUGAGUGUGUAAAAAUACAGUAUGCUUACCUUAACUGCACUUUUUAAUUAUGCUCAUUUCAGGUACAUCUUUGUUGACAAAUUUGUGUUUUGGAAAGUAUUUCCUAUCUGCUGCUUGAGAUGGAUUCUUCAGUUUUCGGUUUUUGAGUGCCCACCGAAUUUCGAUUCUGAGGCAAGAGCCCAGAGGACAUCAUCUUUUCUAGAUGUAUUGCAUCGAAUAAUUAGCAUUUGGUCCAGGCGUGAGUUUGUUCAAUCAUCUUCUAUGGAGCAGCAAGCUUGUAUCCUUCUGAGCAAUAGUUUCUUAGUUUAUUUUUCUUUUCCGUUACUCUUUUGUACUUCCUUAAGUGAAAAUCAGAUGUCACUUAUGCUGUUGCUUUAUGCAUUGAGAAAAUGUCUAAAGAGGAAUUAGAAACAACCAAAGAUAUAUUGCAUUCUAUUCUUCAAGGAGUCAGCUGUAAAUUCUUCUUCUAGAUUAAAUAAUUUUAUGUGAAUUUCUACCAAAGAUUCUAUAAUAUUUUUUUAUUAAACUUGGUUCUAAGAUUUGUAGGUAGACUGGAGAGCCCAAUUGAUUUAGUUCGGAAGAUGGCUAGCUCUGUUGCAUUGGUAUUUUCUAAAGUUGUUGAUCCAAAGAACCCUCUCUACCUUGAUGAUGAUUGUUCUGAAAUUAUUGACUGGGAAUUUGGGUUUAAAAGAAAGGAUGUGGUAACUACAGAUGAAACUAGAAAAGAUAAACUAAAUGGUACUCUGUCCAAGGAUAUGGAAAAAGAUAAACUAGAUGCUACUCUGUCCAAGGUUACAGAAAGUGCCUCUCAUGCUAAAAGGCUGAAAGAUACAAAGCAUCAUGCUGUAGAUGGUGGUAAAUUGAUUUCAGAAUGCAGGGUGAAUCAUUGUGCUGGCAUGCCAAACAAUGAACAUGCCUCUGCUGAAGAGGAUGAUGGUGAAGGCAAGAAUUCUGAUGCAUCUUCAAGUGACUCACUAGAACCAUAUGAUCUGUCGGACGGUGAUACAGAUAUGAAACUUUUCUCCCAGCUUGGUGAUAUUGCUGCAGCAUUACGGAAACCAGAUGAUCCAGAUGGUGUAAGUUGCUGUGCUUACUUUAUAUAGUCAUUGUCAGGUUAUCGUCUGUCAAAAAUUUUCACCUAUUUGAAAGUUUAGUGAAGCUAUUAAUGAAUGCCCCCGUUUGAACAUUCAUAAUGCCUUACUUAUAGGUGGAAAGAGCACUGGACAGUGCUGAAAAGCUUGUACGAGCAACACCUGAUGAGCUUCCCCAUUAUUCAGGUGAUCUUGUCAGAGCAUUAGUGCAUGUUCGUUGCUCUGAUGUAGCAGUUGAAGGAGAGGAAGAUUCUGCUGAAGGAAAAAGGCAAAAAGCACUGGUUGCGUUGCUUGUCACAUGCCCAUUUGAAUCAUUAGAUGUGUUAACCAGAUUACUAUAUUCACCAAAUGUGGAUGUUAGCCAACGGAUUCUGAUACUUGAUGUCAUGACUGAGGCAGCACAAGAGCUUUCAGAGAGUACGAUCAUUAGAAUGAAACAUCAGCAAAGGAAUUUAAUAUCAAACAUUUCAGGUCAACCAUGGUUUAUUCCUAGCAGUAGAGGACCACGUGGAGCUGGUCCUUGGAAAGAGGUUUCUGAUCCUGGAACUUCUAUCAGUUGGUCCCACCGUUAUGAAAGAGAAAUUCCUUCAAGAGCUGGUCAAAUAAAGUCAGGAAAAUCUCGUAAAUGGGGUCUUGUAAAAGCCAAGGAUCCAGAGUUGGAAUCAUCAAGAAACAGAUUUCCUCUUUAUGCUGCUGCAUUUAUGCUUCCUGUAAUGCAAGGAUUUGACAAAAAAAGGCAUGGAGUAGACCUACUCAACAGGGACUUUGUUGUCCUCGGAAAACUAAUCUACAUGCUUGGUGUAUGUAUGAAAUGCAGUAGUAUGCAUCCUGAAGCAUCAGCUUUGGCUCCUCCACUUCUUGAUAUGAUUAGAUUUAGGUAGUAGAAAUUUGAUUUUUUUUUUUUAUAUGUGAAUCUAAAGACUGAUGACCUCACAGGAGUGGUUUUAUUGAAUUUUCUUCAGGGAGUUAUCACAUCAUGCUGAAGCAUAUGUCAGAAGAUCUGUGCUUUUUGCUGCAUCAUGCAUACUGGUUGCUUUACAUCCAUCACAUGUUGCAUCUGCUUUAAUUGAAGGUAAUCAGGAAAUUUCCGAUGGACUCGAGUGGAUUCGGACAUGGGCACUUCAUAUUGCCGAAUCGGAUCCAGAUGCAGAAUGCUCAACGGUAUGUAUAUUAAAGCCCCAACCACAGAACAUGCUGUCUCCAUUUGUUAAUUUUAAAUAUGAAAAUUUUAACUUCGAAUUGAUUAUCUUUAUUUGAUAAUAGUACUCCAAGAAGCAAUUUAUAGUAAAGAAUAGUUGCAAUAUGAUUAUUUAAUUUCAAAGACAUUCAAAAUUGCUAAAUUUUAGAAUCCAUGUUGGUUUAGGAUUAAACAUUCCUUUUCUGAAGAUGCUGCAUGGUUUCCUGCACUAGUUUUUAAUCAUUUCUUUACAUUUAUAUCCUUUCCUUUUCAGGCCUCAACUCAUGAAAUUUUCUACUUGUACAUAUAGUUGCACCUGAAGUCAUUUAUGCACAUAAAUUCCCUCAUUCCUUUAACAUUUUUUAGUUUUGUUUAGCAUGAUCCAUGAGUCUUACAUGUGUCUUAUUGCUAAAAUGUGGAAAUUAAGAUAUGAAACUAUCACCAUUAUGCCAUAUAUCAUUCUAAAAGAAAAAUUCUUUGUUUGCACUUUGCCAAUAAAUCUAAAAAAUAUAAUAUGUGAUUUAUGGAUUCUCAUUGCAAGUUAGGAACAUAAGUAUUGGAUUUUGUUUUACAAGAAAUGAAUUUUAUUGCUAACAGGUUACAGAUUUUCAUCAACAUAUUCUUUGAUUUAUGAACUUGAAGCUUGGACUACAACACACCGUAAUGUAUUUUCUUUUCUGAGAAAUGAACUUUGUUCCAAACGUGUUGCAGAUCUUCAUCUAAAUGUUCUUAAGUAUAUUAACUUGAAUCUUGGAUUACAACACGAAGUAACAUAAGGUUACUUGUCUGCAUUAUUAAGACUAGUUAUAUAGAUAACUUGUUUAAUGAGAUAACAGUUCGACAACUCUAUCAAUGACAGAUCUGGUUAACUAGCCACACUAUCAAUGACCAAUCUCCAUAAUGUGAAAAAUAGCAACAUGAAUGCUCUUCUGAUUUCAUUGGAAAUAUGUAUUGAUAUUGAUACUUCGAAUCAAUAGCAAAUUUCAUCAACUAAAGAAGACAUUAUUAAAGUAACUCUUCCCCAUCAUCCAAAAUCCUCUGUGUGACAUUUAUGAAUGAAAAGUAUUGAAAGAAUUCUAGUUCAUACCUUGGUUACUGUUUUGCAGCAAAUCUGUCAAUAGAUUGGGGUGUCUUAUCAUAUAUUCUUCAGCUUAUUUGUUUAUUCAUUUUUUACCUGAUACAUCAUAUAUGUACUGUGACAACGAGUUAUCUUAAUAUGCAGAUGGCCAUGACAUGUCUUCAGCUUCAUGCUGAGAUGGCUCUCCAAACAUCCCGUGCACUUGAGUCGGCCAAGUCUGUCAAAGCACGAACAAAUACCCUACCUUUGAAGUUGGAUGAUAUUAUAAUACCAUUCUCGAACAUGAGAUAAGAAAUGAGAACAAUCUGUAGUUGGAUUUUGAUGUACUUAUGCCCUCUUUUUCUAUCAUUUGCUUGAUCUUCUUUAUCUUGCAGAAGCAACAAAUAACUUGCAUCAUCCUAUGAGGUACAGAUACAAUUAAAGGUUAUUUUAUGAACUACAUAUACUUGUUUAAUUUGUUAAUAUAAGUGAAACACACAAUUAGCUGUUUUUCUAACUCUUGUGUAGAAUAAUGGUGGUAUGCUUGGUAUGUAUCUGUCUGAGCUAAAACCAAUAUGGUAUUGGACUAGUUUCAACAUUAAACCAAUAUCUUUCUUUGACAUAUCUCAUCAGUAUCAGUUAAUACUGUUAAUAUCACUGUUCACUCCAAGCUACAAAAGUGCAUCUUAUGUUCAAUGCAUUCAACAUCUUUAGGGUCUAGUAGAAAACAGCUGGAUGAAGCUAGAUAUUAUAAUUUCUUUGAAUCAUGUUACCACUUAAUGAUACAUCCUAAUCAGAGCAUCAUGAAUUUUGAUUGGACUGUCAUACCAGUCCCAUAAUUUAAGGCUUUAUUAGCAGCAGGAGGUUGAUACUCAUUUUGUAAGGCUAUAUACUGAUUUCAUCAUUUUGUUUCUUUGACAGUAUCAAAUAGAUGCUGUAGCACUUAACAAGCGUAGGAUGCUGUGUCCAGUAUUGUUGUUUCUGCUAUCUAUGUUUGUAUGGUUGUUAUGGUCUCCACUUGUGUCACAUCUACAGGAAAUAGUAGCUGAACAGUAUAUAUAUAUAUAUAUAUAUAUAUAUAUAUAUAUAUAUAUAUAUAUAUAUAUAUAUAUAUGUUGAACAGUAUAUCGUUUGGUAUAUAGUAUGUAUCAAACGAAUAUCGAAAUAUCGGUAUAAUAUGAUAUUUCAAACUUUGUUCUAAACUAUUGUGUUGCCCGAUCUCUCACUGCAUUCCACCUGACAGGUUUUGGUUAUCCUAUGAGGUGUGUCCACUUGAGAUAAAUCCCUCUCUCAGGUAGAACUUUCAUGUUUGUCUAAUGAUGCAUGGUCUAGAAUUUGAGUGUUCCUAUCAUCUAUAUCAUUUUAUCUGGAUAUGAGAAGCUGUAGCACUAACCAAUAUCUGCACUACAGGAAAUAAUUAAGUUCUAUCUUCUGGAAGUCAUGUAUGCUUCGCGGUUCUCUCACGUCGACCGCUGUCUCAAAAUAAUUAAGUUCAAAUCAAUGGUUGUACAGCCAUAAAGCCUUUAUAUAACUCAAUAUGUGAAUCAAGCCUGCAUGGAUGCGUGAUGGAGGCCAUGCAAUGUUCCUAAUUUUUCGAGUACUAAACAACAUAUUCUAACCGGGCUUUUGAAAACACGUUCCUUCAUGUUUUUAUUAUUUAAUUAUUUGAAUUUAUUAUGUUUUUGGAACACAAUAAUUUCCUACCUUCUCAGUGAAGAAGAGCCAAAAGCACGUCUUCAUCCUUGUGUUCCUUUUCUUCUUUCUUCCAGAGACAUUGGCCUUUGUUCCAGAAACCUUACGUGCCAAGUCACACUUUAUCUUUCUUCUUUCCCAUCAGAUAAUAAUAAUAAUAAUAAUAAUAAUAAUAAUAAUAAUAAUAAUAAUAAUAAUAAUAAUAAUAAUCAAUAAAAUAAAUAAAUAAAUCUUGGGGCGUAACAUUCUCGAUGCCCACGUGACUCGAGCCCCCAACAAUCCAUGUCACGUGAUGGCAAGCUCCACUUGGACCCCAUGCGGCUUCCCGCCAUUGCGCGUUGAAACGUGGCACCAGGCUAUCCUACUUUCGAUGCCAUGUGGCGUUUUGACCGGCUCGUUAACGGUCCUCGGGCACAUCGAACCGUUAGGAGAGCCACGAAAAAGCGAUUUGCCAUCACCAGUAGUACCGGUUCGCCACGAUGUGGGACCGAGACUGCUCCCAAUCCAUGUCGCUGGGUAUUUGGGCGGGUGGAAUCGUUGCUCGUCGUAUAUUUCCAUCACCCACCUUGGCUUCCCCUAUAUAAGGACAAACCCCUGGCCUGUUUCUUGAACUCGAAUGCUCGUCUCGCCGUUCUCCUCGAUAGCAUUUCGACUUCGCUCUAGUUUCUGAUCGUGAUGGGUAAAACAGUCUUUCUCCCCUUCACAUCGUUCAUCUUGUUAGUCUUCUAUUUGGCUUGUGAUCUUAUUUGUUGGCUCGGAUUUGUAGGCAAGAUCAAGAUCGGGAUCAAUGGUGCGCUUCUCUUGCCCUCUUGUCUUCCUUGUAUCUCCUUAGAGGGAUGUUUCUUUGAAGUACCGGUGAUGAUUUUUAGGGUUUUUUUGGUUUGUAAAUGGAGCGAUGCUUUAUCGAUAUACGUUGAUUUGUAAUCUCGUAGGGUUCGGAAGGAUCGGGCGAUUGGUGGCGAGAGUGGCUCUCCAAAGCAGCGACGUGGAGCUCGUCGCUGUUAACGAUCCUUUCAUCACCACCGAUUACAUGGUAAGACGCUCCUCGCUUCUCUAUUCCGUUCUUACUUGAAGCCUUAAGGAUCCAUACAAGACAAGCUAUCUGCUAAUGGAUUGACUAUAUGUCCAAGAGUAAGCCUGACUUGUUUGCUCAGAUUCAGAAGAGACAUGUUCCGUGAACACUCGGAACCCUUGUGGUCACUUAUGGAGAAGAUGGAACUUCCUUUCUCAUCUAAGUGGCAAGAAGAAUCGACGACCAUGCCAUUAGUAGUUAAAAUUAUACAACUUCUCUAGUCAGAUCGAGUCACUUAUUUGGUGGUCCAUCUCUACAAGAACAUGGCCUCCGGUGUUGAGAUUGCCUAUUUGUUAUUCCUGACUUCACUGAUGCAGUUUAUGAUCUUUGUGUGCGCAUAAAUUCACACGUUCAGAAAAGAAAAUCCUAUCAAAUGUUCCCUCAUAUUGUUCCUCCGGUUGCAAUUUGCUGAAUACUUGGUUUGCUCAAACUUAUCGCUAGAUCUUGUGUUUUAUAGCAUCUUCCGGUUGGAUUGAGUUGCUCACUGUUUAUGACUUCGCAGACGUACAUGUUUAAGUAUGACACCGUGCAUGGUCAAUGGAAACACCACGAUGUGAAGGUUAAGGAUUCCAAGACACUUCUCUUUGGUGAAAAGGAAGUCACUGUUUUUGGACUUCGGUAGGUUGGAUUUCAGUCUUCUUUUUCCUGAUAGUGAUCAAACUCAAUACUUCAUAUCGUUUGGAGGAUACUUGAACUUACUAGAAUUGGUUCCUCAAGGAACCCUGAGGAGAUCCCAUGGGGUGAGACUGGUGCUGAGUAUGUUGUUGAGUCAACUGGAGUUUUCACUGACAAGGACAAGGCUGCUGCACAUUUGAAGGUCAUCUCUAUUAGAAUGUUUUUUCUGAUGAUAUUCUCUCAGUUGGUUUUGCUAUCAUACUGAUGGAAGUUUACACUGAUGUUUUACUUGCUUUUGUGCAUUCUUUAAUUCCAGUUCCAAUAGUGAACGUUUAUUCGACUUAAAUGUCCAAAGAAAAGAAAUUUAAUGCAAUUAAUUAGCAGUACAUAUUUUUCAUGCUAGCGUUGGAUUAUCAACCUGAAAAGUAAUUUGCAUCUAACGGAUAAGGAAGGUGGAUCAAACUUAUUUUAACUUUGCCUUGAUGUCAGAGAUGGUGUCAUGAUGGCACUUGAUGACCAAUCUAAAAUGAACAGGAAACUCGAUUCAAUUUUGCUAUUAGGUGAUGAAUCUUAGUUCAUUUAGCUAUCGCUCACAAAUUGCAACCUUAAUCUCUGUCAUGCGAAAUAUUCAUUGACUUGUGAUGGAUAUUUUACAAGCUUCAACUUACUGUUUUGAGAUUGAGAAAAUAUCUUCGCUUUACCCUUCCGUUUCUUAUCCUUAUCUGAUUGCUUUUCAUAAUCAUAGGGUGGUGCAAAGAAGGUGAUCAUUAGUGCUCCUAGCAAAGAUGCUCCCAUGUUUGUGGUGGGCGUGAACGAGCAUGAGUACAAGCCGGAUAUUGACAUAGUCUCCAAUGCCAGCUGCACCACUAACUGCCUGGCUCCCCUAGCUAAGGUCUCAUUUGCCUUCAUAUAUAGUGUACCUUAAAGAACGUGAAGCCUUUUAGAAAUAGAGCUCAUCUUAUGUAUGUCUGGAUCAUCGCAGGUUGUCCAUGAUAGAUUUGGUAUCAUUGAGGGGUUGAUGACCACAGUACACGCAAUUACUGGUAAUUUUUUUGUGAAACAUAGUAUCACUUUUGUUCUUUUUUUGUAACUCUAUUUUUAUGCUCAAUGGUUUUUUUUUGUUCUAUUUUCUUUUCCUUUGUUUUUAGCUACCCAAAAGACUGUUGAUGGACCCUCUAGCAAGGACUGGAGGGGUGGAAGGGCAGCUAGUUUUAACAUCAUACCGAGUAGCACUGGAGCUGCCAAGGUAUGCUCAUACGUUACUCUGUCAACGUUAAUCCCCUCUCAAAACAGAGUUUAGUUGUCAGUCACACCCCCAUUAGCUGGGGUCAUCUUUGUUUGAUUCUUCAAAUAUGUAUGUCUCCUAUCCUUCUGUCUUGUUUGAAUAAUGCUUAAAAAAUGUUUGAACUUCUAGUUUGAUCAUGACUUCAUACAUGACAUUCCAUAUUUCCAUAUCUGUAGUGUUUGAGCAAGUUUUGGAAACAUUAAAUGCCAUUUAAAGGCCUCAUUUCUCAUCAUAUAUAUUACGAUUUUUGAGUUGGCCUUGUUGUGUGGAGAUGAAUCAUCUGAGUAAUGUGUUGAAUGAUUAUAAAUUAUACAAGUUUUAUAGAUAUAAAUAAUAAUUUAAUGCUUUUAUUAUCCUCAAAUAUUAUGGCUUGCAUCCUGAGUUUGGAUCGGAUCGUGGAUGAAUCUUUUUUUUUAAUUUGAUUACUGAUUCAUGUCUCAUUUUUUGGUUGAUCAGUGGCUUCACUUACAGUUGUGUGUUUUCUUGAUUGUCUAGGCUGUUGGGAAAGUUCUCCCUGCUUUGAAUGGGAAACUGACGGGGAUGGCUUUCCGUGUUCCUACUGUGAAUGUCUCUGUGGUGGAUCUCACUGUUAGGAUUGAGAAGGCUGCAACAUACGAUCAGAUAAAAGCAGCGAUCAAGUAUGUAUUCUGAAUAUUUUGCUGUAGAUACCUAUUCUAAAACAUUAAAUAGUUCAAGUAUAAUGUUGUCGUAUGCAUGAUAUCAGAUUUUAGAUAUAUUCUUUCUUUAAUAGGAGUACUUGCUAUGCUCGAUCUCUUAUUCUAUUUCGUGUGGCUUAUGUACGGUGUCAGAGACCUCAGGUAUAGUAUUUUGAUGCCAGAAGACUUGGGAGGUGGUGUAAUUUGUUCUGAUGGUGGGAGUUCCUUAUAUGUAUAUCUUGCAUUAUUCUAGUCUUACUCCUCAAUCAUUAAUGAUAGGGAAGAAUCCGAGGGCAAGCUGAAAGGAAUCUUGGGUUAUGCUGAUGAGGACUUGGUUUCGAUGGACUUUGUUGGUGAUAACAGGUGCUGUCUUAUGUAUAUAUAUAUAUAUAUAUAUAUAUAUAUAUAUAUAUAUAUAUAUAUAUAUCACAAAGAAAUUAGUACAGGAACACUCGUGGUUACUGAGAGUAACUCCCUGUUGCAGCUGCUUUUUAUUCUGUUUAAUUUGAAUCGUUCAAACAGGUCGAGCAUUUUUGACGCCAAAGCUGGGAUUUCUUUGAAUGAACAUUUUGUUAAGCUCGUGGCUUGGUACGAUAACGAAUGGGGUUACAGGUACUUUAAAAGUUUGUGUAUCUUAGGUAUUUGGUGGACUUCUCCUCUUACUGUCUUUUAAAUUAUUAUUAUUUCUUUUUUGAAUUUUACAGCUCGCGUGUGGUCGAUCUGAUUCGUCACAUGGCUACCACCAAGUGAAAUUUAGUUGCUUAACCCACUAUCUGCUGGUGUCGACUUGUUUGUGGUUUAUGUUUUCUUUAAAAUAAUUACCGUGUGAUUGGACUCGGGAUGGUUGUGUGACGCGACUGAUCUUUGUCUUAGUCGAGACUCGCGUGGAUCGAAUCUGGAGGAUCGUUUUUUCUACUGGUUGUGAUUGGUAUAGCCGGAAUCACCAGGCUUCUUGCACCAUGUUUUAGCUUCUGGUAAUUAGCUGCUACUGUUUCUUUAGACUGAGGUGAUGGUGAUUAGCCUUGCGGUCGAGAACUUGUGCUCGGUCUGUGGGCUAGUGUUUUCUAACAAUUUUACAUGUUUCCAAGUUGUGUUUUCAGUUCACUCAUGGUCUCUAUUUUCUACAGUUCAUAUGAAGUUUUAUUAAGAUUUUAUUAAGCCUUUGAACCGAGUAGAGUUCUUUUUUUUUUUUUUUGACAAAUGUUUGCCAAACACAAUGCAGAAAGAAGAACAGAGUCGUUAAAUCUCUCUUAACAUUCUGUAGUAAAGAUCCUCAGAGUACAAGAUAUUUCUCUGCGAAACCAUUUCUCUUAAAUCUCUCCGAAACCAUCAUCAUUCUUCUCCUUCCCGUGUCAAUAGGAUAAUCAUUCUUCUCCUUCCCGUGUCAAUAGGAUAAAGAUACAAGGCUAGCUCCGUUGGUGAUCAACCACAACAAUAUCCUGCAAUCAGGGCUGAUGGUAACAGAGAUUAACGUGUCAUAACAUGCAAUAUGUCGACUGAAAGUCAUCCAUAUUUCUUCCAAUCUGUAGAUACAAAGCCUACAAGUCCAGUUGAAGUACUUGUAAAAAGUUUAGUGCCUAUCCAAUAAGAACUAUCAAACAAUAUUGGAACCAAAGACUUCCGUUAGUUAAGCCAGUAUUACCUCUAUUAAGAUUAUCUUAUAAAAUUAAGAAACCAAGAUCCAGAAAACUUACAUCAAAUCUUUCACCAAAGAAUGUAGUAGAAUAUGAAGCAAGUAGAAUUUGCACGGAAAGCCAAAAUUUUACCUGUAGAUUUCCAGCGAGGACUACUGGCUUCGAAGAGUCAUACAUCCCAAAGUAAAGACCACGAUAGACCAUAAUCCCAACGCAUGAAAUAUUAAAUCCUUUCUAAAGUCCAGCAAUGCCAAACCCAACUGCAGGGUCUUCCGGUAAACAUCACCAAGACCACUGAAUUGCCGUUCCCCGCCCUUCUUCGCUGCCUUUGCAUCAUUUGCCAAAUGCGUACGAGCAUAGUCCACAGAGUACACGAAAACCACUGAACGAGCACCAGCAGCACCACCUGAAGCUAGAUUGCCAGCAAACCAUUUCCAGUGUCCAUCUUUGUCUUUCUUAAAAUUAAACAUCCUUUUGAAGGAAUCCUUCAAGGUAAAGUUCAGAGCCUGGAAGCGAUAAACUCAGUUUAUCAGUAAGUGGAGCUGAAGGGGGGAAAAAGCACAAUAAGCAAAACGGUAAGAAGGGCAAUUGGUAUUCCAGAAAGUGAAACUAUAAAUCAAACUAUAAAUAAUGCCAUUUGUUUCAUAUAUAUAAAGUGACUGCAAAAAUUGUACAUUCUUUUUUGUACAAAUUAUCAUAAAACAUGAUAACUAUGGGUAAAUUGAACCAACUGGUGACUGGUUAAUUUAACCGACUGAUGCUCCAUUUCCACAUUGUAACAACUGCUUGUAGAGAACAGAAAUCAUUCCAAUAAGUAGGUCAUGCAUCAAAAGCCAAGACCAAGCAGCAUGAAGUUUGAUGGUCACACAGAUUCCGCAAUUUUAGUUACCACCACUAUGCUGACAAACUAGAUUACAGAUCAAUAUCUGAGACUAUAACACUGAAAUCACUGUUUGAUGAUGGCUUAUCUAUGUUCGCAACAUAAGUUUUGAUAUUUAGACAAAACAUGAUCUAUAGUACAAGAAUGUCAUUAACGAAGAAAAACAUAUAAUGACACAGUAAGAAGAGUUUCUGAGCAAAAGAACAAUAUCAAAGUAGUUAAAAGACCAUGAAAACCAAGCCAAAUCCAGCCUGUUAACUACCAGACAUUUAAAGAAGCAGGUGCAAACUGAAACUUGACGAUCCAACACGCCUUCAUGGUGAUUUUUGUAUGAAGAAAUUCUGGGAUUAAAUUGAAUAAAUGUGUAACACAAACACAUAUAAGUUUACCUGAGCGGCAAAAUAACGAAUGACAUUAGCUGUGUUCCCUCUCCAUAGAGACAAAGCACCUUCAUCCUUAAUCGUUCAGGCAAAGCUGUCUCUCAUACAAAGAUGGCUACACAGGCUGCAGUUCAAAGCUUGUGGACCUCGAGAAAAUCUGGACCCGAGGGGGAAUGGGCUGGCAACUUUCUGCAUUACGAUUGGGUGAUUAACUUGAUCAGCCAUGGCAUGCCGAUAAAAUGACCUACAAAACAACCACUUUGAAGUUCUGCAGAAGAUAUUCUGAGAUUCAAGCAACAUUACUAAGAUAAAUUAUAACAUAUGGUCACUGCCAUAUUAACUCAAAGCAUGAGCAAUUACCAAGUCGUAGUAUUCCUUCAAAGAAUUAACAUGUCUACAGAUGUGGUGAGGUAGGAAAAAGUCAAAUGAACAAACAAUUUGCAUUACAGGACAUACAAAAUGUAAUAGCAUGAACAAAAUAGAAGGAAUAAAUCAUCAUAAAAGCAAACUCUAUUGUUAGUUCCAACUGAACUGCCAUGAUCACGGAACACAAAGUCUAAUUACUAGUUGAUCAUUAAACAACAAAACUUUGCUCCAACUACUGCUACAGCUCUGUUAUCUUUGUAUUCUUAAAAAAUCAAUGGGUCAAUGAAGAUGCAGCUGGCAGAUUUUGCGUUGGCUUCAUGCAUCUCUAUUAAUUUAUAACUCAUAGAUGAAAAGGUGGAUAUUCUUUAGAGAUCUGAGCAAAUGAAGCCAAAACUGCAAUCACGAAUACCCAACAGGCACCCUUGACAAGGUAAUAUGGGUAAUAUCAUCCCCAACAAUCUCAACUAUGUAUUAUAAAUUUAGCCACAUAAAAACCGCAAGUUAUAAAUCAAAAUAGGUAUCGUGAUGAGAUGAGAAGCUACAAGCUGCAAGAUCUAAAACCUCCAAGUCACCCUGAGAGGUCAACCACCUCGAAAGCUAUCGAGGACGGAAUUUGCCAACAAGGAUUACAGCAAAAGAGAGCAGAUGGGAUUCGUACACGAAAUCAAGUAUAUAGAACAAAAUCACCCUUAAAACCAUUGCAGAUCUACCUGAUCUAACAGUUUGCAGGACAACCAAAUCAACAGUCAUACCCACCAUAUCCAUGUCUUAAAACAAGAUUCCCAACCCUAAAUCGAUCGAAGUAUGAACGAGAAAAUGGAAAGCGCGACAACGAUAUGGAGAAAGAAAUAGAUAUCUACCAAACGGAUAGCUUAAUCAAAGAUACCACCGAUCCGAAACUUAGUAGAGAGCACACUUCUAAAUAUCUUCAAAAAGACUCGAAAAUAGAAAGAUGGAAGACAAGAAUCGAUCGAUCCACUCAGAUACACGAUCAGCAAUCACAUAAACGACAAGGCCUUUAAAAUAGAUUCAUAUUCUUAGAAAUCAAGAAAGAGUUCAUAUGGAAGUAGGGUUUUACCCUUCCGAAGCGUCUCCCUCUUGUCUCGGAGACAAGGCGAGAUGCGUUGGAAACGCAACGACGAGACCGAGAGAGGGAGUGGAGCGGUUAAGCCACUCCUGUGCUGUAUCAAAGGGCUUUCUGUUAACGUGCAAACCAUCGUCAGCGGGACUUGAUAUAUUGACCGUUGGAUCUCAUCAAAGUACCGACGAGCAAUAUGAUGAGCGGCGGAGCUUGAUUCUUUGUAAUUUGGACCAUAUAUUUCGAAGGUGCACGUGGCGGAGUAAAAAAAAAAAUACAACCAAGUCAUGCUUGUUGACCCGUUCGUAUACCGACUACUGUGUACCUCCUAUACGCAGGUGGGACCCGAUCAGUGAAGGAAGGCGGCAGUGACGACAUUCAAAAAGGUCGUCGGAGGCAUACUUCCACCUGCGUGCCGGCCACGUGACCGAACGCCGCUACCUACUGAACCGUGGCGAAUCUCUAUCGCAAUCGAGGCGAACCGGCGGAAACGGCUUUACUGGAGAGGAGAGAGAGAGAGAGAGAGAUCAGAAAUGAGAAUAAUAAUAAUAAAUAUUUCGAAUAUCAAUUUUCUUUUACUCAAAAGAUUAUUUAAAUCAAGAAAAGCUUAAAAAAGUGCCUCUCAAGACCAAAAUAGGGCAGAAUACAAAACUCAAGAUAAUUUUUUUUUCAAAAAAAUAGCACGGUAAAAAUAGUAUGAGUAAUAGAUUUGAGAUUUAAAUCUAACCUCAUGUACGUUAUUUAAUAUAAUAAAAAUAAAUGUACAUGCGCAAAAUAUGAAUAUUUAUAAUAUUAACCACACAUCACCAAAAACCUCAUGCCACAACUGGAACAGGUCAACAACGUUGGCCAAACGACCGAUUCCCACGCACGUAAAACGCUCCUCGCAACCGCCAAGCUUUGAGGUAGCAUCUCCGACUAUCCAUCCCGGCAACUGAAACACGCUAUAAAACCCUCCUUCCCAUCCCACAUUCCUCCUCAGGCCUGCACAGGAGGAGAAACAAGCCACCCCAAAUAAGUUUCUCUUUCUCUCUCGCUACCAUCUCUGCCGUAGCUCCAAGGCCACCGUCGUCAGCAAUGGAGAUGGGAAAGAUCGCCUGUGCCAUCCUCGUUGCCGCCGCGUCGGCCACCACCGCCCUUGCAGCCGAGGCCCCGGCUCCCGGCCCCGCCAGCGCCUCCUUCGCGGUCACCCCCGCUUUUGGAGCCGCCGUCGGGGCCGCCGUCCUCUCCUUCUUCGCCUUCUACUUGCAGUAGCCUCAAUGAGCGAGAGAGAGAGAGAGGGAAAGAAAGAAGGCAGCCCUAUAUGGGGAACGAAUGACACGACUGUUCUCUUUGUUUGUGAUCUAUUUCAACGUUGCAUCGUCCUUUGACUACCAUCGUUGUUGCCAUCUUUCUAUUAUGGAAUUAAUUUCCGAUUGAAAUGAAUGCACCAUAACAUUUGCAAUCACUUUGUUACCAAAGCUAUUGUUAAUUCGAAUUAGGGAGCUAAUCCGACAUGAAUCUUCCAUUGUUAUCAUAGCCAUCAGAGUCAAAGCAAGUUGCAUCACCAAACUCCUAAACGGACGACACCAUCACAUGAUGCAUAAGCUUGGCAGUGCAACAAUCAAAAGAAAACUAAGCACGUCGCCAUCGUAAUAUACACCCAACGUGAUGCAAAAGACUCUUCGAGGAGUAAUUAUUGAGUUUAAAUUUCC